rnacentral:lncRNA from 1 species
UACAGAGCCCAUUAAUCAAGGUCCCAUAAGUGACUUCAUUAAAGCGAAAUCCAUGAGCCAGCACUCUGUCAUGAAAGCGCACUGCUUUUUCAACACUACCACAGAGACAGAGACCUUUCAGGAUUGUUGUCAAUGUUACCGUAUUAGGUUGAUAAUCCAUUCUGAAAAUCUUGGCCAAUACAGAAAAAGCAAGCGUCAUACGACCCAUGCCGCAACAACAAUUAAUUACGAUGCUCAAAGUAACUAUGCUGGGCGCGAUUCCCCUGACUUGCAAUUGCUGAAAAAGGGAAACGGCGGCGUGGAAAUGCUUCGUCUUGGCAAGAGAUCCCAAAAUCUUGGUGAAUUGGAUGAUGGAUGGAGGGCGACGCAUAGAGACCAUGCGAGUGAAGGAAUCAACAGCAUCGUCAACUUCACGAAGGGAUGGAGGCUCAGAAUGAAAGUGAAGGCUUGUCCAUGAACAGGAACAGGAAGGAGGGAGAGUAGAGAGUGGAACAAGAUUAGGGAUUUGACGAACAGAAUACCUAAACCUUGUUGCAUACAGCAUUGUUGAUUCUCCUUCUGAAUUCUGAAUAACAGCCACCUCCCAACUCUCAGAAAUUUGCUACUGCAUUUACAUGUCUAGAUUUUUAUUACUUUUUAUAAACUUUUUUUUUUUACAGAAUUAUUUUUUAUUUAGUAAAAAUCAUAGUUAUCAUAACCGAACCAGUCAUGUUACUGGGUCACUGGGUCAUUGGUUUAAUCGGUGGGUUGCUGGUUGAACCGAUUGACCCGGUCCUAUAUAAAUAAAAAAUAAAAUAUAGUAAAAAAUUUAUAAUUAAAAAUUUAAAAUACAUAUUUUUACUAAUAUUUUAAAAAUAUCUAGCUAUUCUAAAUAAAUUGGAACAAUAAAAAUAAAAUUAAUUUAAGAAUGAGUGAGUUUAUAAUUAAAAUUAAAAUAAUUUAAAUAGAAGUAAAUUAUUUGUUGAAAGAUAUCAAUAUAUAUUUUAGUUUGUAUAUAUAUUACUAACAAGCAAGUUAGUCUAGUUGUCAAUGAUACCCUUUAUAACCUUGAGGAAGGGGGUUCGAACCCCAAUUGUUUCAUUUUAAAACAAUUUUGAAAUUGAAACGGUUCGGUUGGACCGGUCAUUACCGAGUUUGACUGGUUUUUACCGGUUCAUUCUGGAUUUGACCGGUUCACAGCGGUUCCUUAUCUUGUGCGGUCCAAUUAUCAAACCGGUCAUUACCGAGUUUGACUGGUUUCUACCGGUUCGCACCGAUUUAUUACUUUGUGCAGUCCAAUUAUCAAACCGGAUCGGUGUAGGGUUUGAUUUACCGGUUUUUCGGUCGAAACGGCCGAUCCGGUUCGGUUCUGAUAACAUUGGUAAAAAUUUAAUUGAUAGUUGUUAAAUAAUUUAAUUGACUAAAAUUUUAUCUAACAACUCUCAAUUUUUAACUGUACCUGAAUUUUUACACAUAUUUAACAUAGACGAGUGAUAUGGUGUAGAACUAUAAUUCUUUGUUCAUAUGUGGAUGUCAUUUGUGGAGAUAUAAAAGUGGUAUGAUAUUACUUACGUAUAAAUAUAUGGUGUAGAACUAUAAUUCUUUGUUCAUAUGUAGAUGUCAUUUGUGGAGAUAUAAAAGUGAUAUGAUAUUACUUACGUAUAAAUGUGACGGAAGACAAUUAUUAGAAUUGUAGGACCCAAAUACAGUUUAAAAUAACAGUAUUACAAGUAAUGAUGUCAUUUUGUUUUAGUGCUGAGACAUUAUCAGUAGAUAAUUAAUAGAAUAAUUAAAAAGAGAUUAUAAUUUGAUAAUUUUUGAGAAAGAAUUAACUAAUAAUUUUUUAGAAUGUUAUUAUGUUUUGGACUUAGAUUUUUAUUACAAUAAACACAAGUAGUGAUUUAAUUUAUAAAAGAAAGUUAGGAAAAGUUAUCUAACAAAAAUAAAAAUAGGAAUACUGGAAUAGGCUCUCUAACAAUACCAAAAUUAUAAUUAUUUUAUUUAAAUCUUGCGUUAGUCAUAAUCAUGAUCAUAAUCAUAAUUUAUAUUAGUAAUGAUAAUGAUAAAUUGUAUUACUCAAUUAGUAGUUUAUUGCCUAUUUUACACCUUUCUUAAUUUUACAUAAUCUAAAAUAUAUUUGAAUAAAUCUUUUUUUUUUGAAACUAAAGGAGCUCAACACACUAGGUGGAGCAUUUAACAUCAAACAAAACAAAAAGAAUUAACUCAAAAGAAGCCAACAACCAAAAUAAAGUAGCCUCGCAUGUCGUCUCUGGCAUAGCCAUCAACAACAUUUGGAAUGGUCACCUCCCCACUCGUUAUAACUGAGCAUGGUCAUAUGGAUAAUUUCUUCUACACCUUUGGUUUGAUUCUGAAAUAUUCUCCUGUUCCUCUCCAUCCAAAUGUGCCAUAUGAUCACACAAAAGCACCUCAUACGCUGAUGUCGAGCCUCUUUCCCACGCAACCCCUCUGUCCAACUUAGAAAGUGGUCCUUCAUCAACCUCGGGAAAGACCUUAGCUGGCCAAAGAUAGAUACCCAAGCAUUCCACACCCGCCAAGCAAAUUCACAUUCAAGAAACAAGUGAUUGACCUGCUCAACAUCGUUAGUGCAUAAAAUACACCUCGUAUCGUCCUGGCUAAUUAUCCCGAGUCGACUCAGCCGUUCCUUGGUAUUCACCCUGCCUACCAGAACGAACCACGCAAAUAGCUCCACUCUUGGUGGAACCAACCCUUUCCAGACGGUCUUUGUGAAGCUGUAGCUGGUGACCUCCUCAGAUAGCAAUCCUUCUUGUAGCACCUGCACAAAGGAGUUAGUCGAAAAAAUACCAAGUCUAUCAAAUUUUCACACAACUCUAUCCUCUCUAGUAUUCACUAGCCUGACAGGUCUCAACGUCUCAUGUAACUGACUCAGAAGGUCUAACUCCCAUUGGAACAGCUCUCUCCUCCACAGGAAGUUCCAAACCCACUCUAACCCAUCCCAAAACCCGCAAUUCCCAAUGACCGAACCACAUUGGUUUGAAACAGAGAAGAGCCUAGGGAACCGAUCUUUCAAGGGUCCACACUGUAACCAAACAUCCUCCCAAAACCGAGUCCUUUGUCCAUCGCCAAUUUCUAUGGCCAAGCCUGUGAUUAGCUUAUCCUUCAGAUGUUGCUCCGUAAUUUGCAUCUGGCAAAUAUCCUUCCAUGGGCCUCCUCUUGUAGGCACCACUUGAGUGAACAGUAACUCAUUCGGCCUCAGAUUAUUACAGGAACAGACUAUCUUCUUCCAAAGCGGGCACUCCUCCUUAACAAAGCGCCACCACCACUUAAACAACAAGGCAGUGUUACGGAGCAUAGCAUCUCCGACACCCAACCCACCUAGUUUUUUAGGGGCUUGCACCAACUCCCAUCUCACCAACGCCAUACCAUGCCUUCCAUCCUCUUUGCUCCAUAAGAAUCUUCUUUGCAGGAAAAUCAACUUUUGAGCAACUGUCUUCGGCAUCUUAUAGAGGCUCAAAUAAUACACCGGAAGGCUAUUCAAGACUGAUUUGAUGAGCACCAACUUGCCCGCUUUGCUUAACACAUUCGCUUUCCAAAGGCUUAGUUUCUCCUCCACUUUAUCGAUGAUAGGCUUCCAGGUUUUAACCAGCCUCGGAUUAGCUCCUAGGGGGACUCCAAGGUACUUGACAGGAAGGGUAUCUUUCUUACAACCCCACAGUCUACACAUACCACAUACCCACUGCUCUUCACAAUUAAUAGGAAUCAAGCUGGAUUUUUCAAAAUUGAUACUGAGCCCUGAUAUCAACUCAAAACACCGCAGUAGCCGCUUGUAGUUCUUCAUUGUCUCAUCCUCAGGGGGACAAAACAGAAUUGUAUCAUCAGCAAACUGGAGGUGUGAUAACUCCACCCUGUCUCGGCCAACCACCAACGGAGAAAUACGUCCGUUCCUGACAGCCACACCAACCAUUCGAUGCAAAACAUCCACAACCAAUACAAAUAGGAACGGAGAAAGCGGAUCACCUUGUCUCAAGUCCCUUUCCAUUUUAAACGGUUUCAAUGGCGACCCAUUAAUCAGGACCGACAUAGAAGCUGUGGUCACACACUCCAUAAUCCACGCCCUCCACCUGCGCCCGAAUCCUAUUUUUUCCAUCACAAUAUCCACAAAACUCCACUUGACUUUGUCAUACGCUUUUUGAAAAUCUAGCUUGAUUAUCACUGCCUCCUUUUUUCUCCCUUUAAGCCAGUGCACUGUUUCACACGCUAUGAGAGUCCCAUCAUGUAUUUUUCUACCCUUCACAAAAGCACUCUGAGUCUCCCCUACCAGCCUUGGCAUCACUGAUCUUAUCCUCCGCACUAGAACCUUCGAAAUAACCUUGUAUACACAACCAACCAUACUAAUAGGUAUGAGGUCUUUAAUCUCCCUUGCGCUGAUGAACUUAGGGGCUAGAGCCACCCAUGUGAUGUUGGAAUAUGUCGGUAAUCUGGACGUCUGGAAGAACCUCAUCACUGCUGUCGUAAAUUCAUCCCCAAUCUCAUCCCAGCACCUCUUAAUGAAGUUCAUGUUAUACCCAUCACAGCCUGACGCCUUUGAUGACUCACAAUCCCACACUGCCUCUCUAAUUUCCUCAGCCGAAGGCAUCGCCUCCAAGGUUACAGAUUCUUCCUCCUCUAUCCUUUCUACUAGACCAUCUCUAAACCCCAACAUGGGAGAAGUCUCCUGAUGAUAUAGAUCUUUAUAAAACUCUGUAAUUGCUAUUUUGAUCCUAGCUUGGUUCCUUAUCAUUCUCCCAUUAACUAUCAGAGUAUCAAUUCGAUUAUUCCUCUGCCGUGCAGACGCUAUAUGGUGGAAGUAUCUUGUGUUUCUGUCCAUAUCUUUUGCUUGCCGAGACCGAGACAUUUGUUUCCAGUGAAUUUCUUUCCUCGCAUACCACCUCUCACAGCAAGUAACUAGAGCCUUCCUUCUGGCCUCAAUAGUCUCAUCAUACACUCCAUUACUUACCAUAUCAUCCACCUUUUUAAUCUCUUCCUCAAACUUCUCAAUCUUCUUAUCCAUCUCACCAAAGUUCUCCUUAUGCCAUCUUCCCAAAGGCACCGUUAAGGCCUUCAAUUUCUCUGUAAAAUCCAACUCCCCAAGACCUCUCCAUUCCUCCUUGACCAUUCUAAGAAAACCUUCAUGUGUAAACCACGAAUCAAGACUUUGAAAAGGCCUAGGCCCUCCCCUCAUCCUUUUAUCUUCCACAAUGAUAGGACAGUGAUCUGACAAGCCCCGUGGUCCACCCCUUAACCGGGUCUCAGGGAACUCCUCCAACCAUUCUACACUAACCAAAGCUCUAUCAAUCCGACUACAUGAACGGCCACGGAAUAACGUGAACUUGCGAUCCGUAAGCGGCAGAUCCACUAGGUGCAUGUCUUGGAUCCAGCUCCUGAAUUCAUCUGCUGACAGAGACAAACUAACAGUACCUUUUCGUUCUUCUACAUUCACAAUCUCAUUAAAAUCACCUAUGAAACAGCAAGGAACCUGACAUAAGCCAGCAAUGUAACUCAACUCCUCCCACACAUGACUCUUCUCUUCUCUAGUAUGUGCACCAUAGACUAAGAAAAAAGCACAAUAAAAACUAUUCUUCAGUAUGAUACCUUCAACGCAUAACCACCUCUCACCCUUAUAAUAGUUAUUCAGUUUAAAAAAAGCUUCAUCCCAAAUCAACAAGAGACCACCAGAUGCACCGUCCAAACCUACAUAUUCCUACCCUGCCACACUAUCCCCCCAAACCCUCCCAACAUCAAACCUGGUCGCAACCUGUCGUUUAGUCUCAAUCAAGCCUACCAUACUCAAGUUAUGUUUAUUUUUCAAUUCCUUCACCAUUCUCAUCUUUCCGUCACCCCUUAACCCCCUAAUAUUCCAAGAACCGAAAUUCAUUUGUAACUAACUUUACACACCUGUUUUUUGGUUUUGGGUCUGCACCUCCUCAUCUUUGCCUUCUGUUUUGCCAAUUUCCUUUUAUGUGCUAUUUCUUCAUUUUGUGCCUGGAGGAUUACCAUUAUGUCAUCUUCUUCAUUGCAUAACACAGCUCCGGAUUCCUUCGCCAGCUCCCAAGUCAAUUUGUUCUCUAAGAUCUGAUCCUUUAAGCACUGAGAGUCACUGCCCCCGUCCUCUUGCUCCCCAUCAAACUGCUCUUGUUGAACGCGUCCAAUACCUUCCACUGUUUUGCCAACAGAUCCACCGCCUUCAUCCCGGUCCAGAAUCGUCACUCGACACUGUUCCCUGUACCCUGACGUCACACCAAAUUCUGGGUCUUGGACCGCAUUCCACUCGCCAUCUACCUCAACCUCCUGCCCCUUCCCAACGGCAGCUUCUCGGACUACCUUCCUUAUCGUGCCGACCGUAGUUCCGUCACCCACAGAAUGGCCGAACGGAAAACCCUUCCUACUCCAGUGGCGGCUUCCCACAGAACCGGCGCCACCUAUCCCGACGUCUUCCCCAUCUCGAGCGAUCUCGUCGCAUCUGUCUCGGCAUCUUUCCGAAGCUGCUGGUUGCCGGUUCCCCCUAUCGCCAUCUCCAAGCCAGUAGUCAUCCAGUCCCCCGACGGAGCUCCCCGCAACCAGAUCUGGUUGACGCUGCGCAGGAGAAGGGAGAAGGCUCGAGCCCCCCUCCCCAACCGGGUCAUGUCCAGCACCCGUGGAGCACCGGCCCAAUCGGGUUCCAUCAUCCCAUUCAAUGGAGCCCCCUUUCCCAACCGGGCCUUGACCAGCAUCCGUUAAAGGCCAGCCCAAUUCGGUCUCCUCAUCCAUGUCAAUGGCAUUUGUUUUCCUUAGCCCAGCCUUCCUUAGGAUAUCUUGAUUUUUUUGGUUUUCCUUGAUAAUGGUCCUUGCACUAUAACAAUAUAGACUAUUUUUUAGGAUUAUUAUGUGUCAAAAAAAAUUAAAAUUUGUCAAAAAAAUAAAUUUUGAUACUAUUUUAACUAUGAAAAUAUGUUAAUAAAAGUUUUGUCAAAAAUAGUAUUUUUAACAUAUAAAUAAUUGUAAAAAAAAAGUUUAAAUCUUAUUUUGAUAAAUAUUGGCCGUCAAAAAUAAUUUAUUAGAAAAAUUUGAGAAUAUAUUUUUUGUGAUACUUAUUAACCGUCAAAAAUACUAUUUAUUUUGACACUUAUUGACCAUAAAAAAUUCUCAACAAAAAUUUUUAACAAAGAAUGAGAUGAGAUCUUGAAACUGAAGAAUAAACUGAGAUUUUGAAGAUGAAAAAUGAGUAGUAUGAUCCUAAACUGAGAGCAGUGUGAUGCCAAAAUUGACGGAGCUCAACGAAGAAAAGGAAUAAUAGAGUAAGUUGAAAACAAAUGAGUGUCAAAAUUGAGGAGUAAUUUUUUACAAUCAAAUUAUUCAUAAGAAAAAAUAUAGAGAAUUUAACAUUUGUGAUAUUUGUCAAAAAUAUAUAUUAAUUUUUACACUUAACUAUGACUGUUAAAAAAAAUCAUGUUAAAAUAGCUCUCUUUUCUUGUAGUGUUGGCAGCCCAUUAAACCUUUCCAGCCCAUUACAGAAAACACCAUACUCCCAUGUAACCGUUUUGGCCGACUCAGCCUCAUCACUAGCACCGCUUUCACCUUCAGAAACAGCAUUUCCUUGAUUACAGCCAUUAACAGAUUGGUCCGUUACUAAUUUACCGGGAUUUUGAUUUGCAUUGCAUUUAAACCACUCAUUCAAAAUAUCACUAGAAAUUACUAAUCUGCCCUCAUCUUCCUCCUCUCCCCAUUGCACCACCAUCAUUAGUCCAUCAUGUUGGUCGUCCAUCUUUGCUGGUUCCAUCUGUCUGAUCGGCCAUGCACCCGUUCCCGUGGCCGGAGUUGUGAUAACAUGGUUCGAGAUCUCACCGUCAUUAGUAUCAUUAACAAUAAACGUCCCCUGACACUGCAAGUCACAUGCAUGAAGACCAACUUCCUUCACUAAUACGUCAUAGUCCCCUAAAUCAACUGUAAUAUGAAUUCUCUCCUGAAUUACUUCCAUGAUACACGUGUCAACUAGUAUACGACCUGACGUGAACGUGCAGCACAAUUCUGUCUCUUUUGCACAUCUAACAACUGCUCCCCACUGUUCACUAUCAAUUUGAAGGUAUCUGCAGACCAAGCAGCCAGCGGUACACCAAAACAUUCGAGUCAGACCCUACGAGAUUCACAACGCUCCAACUCUUGCCACUUCCAAACCCGGUGAAAAGUUUGUAAAAGGAAAUUCAAUUUGAAGGUGUAUGCCUGAUCUGCAUUCAUAACAGUAUCAAAGGUCAAAAGUGCUUUGCAAGCUCCCAUUUCCCGAACUUGGACAACAGAAGGUAGGGAAAUAGCCACCAUUUUUCUCAACGAAGUGAAAUCAAUAGGCCCCAAUGUUACACCCACAAGACUUCUCUGCAGUCAUUCCAAGUUUCCUGGCGCCACUGCAACUUCCACAUUUUUUAUAUUACUUUUUCCGAUCAUGCUUCUUACCGUUUGCUUCGGUUGUAAUUCAUUCGCAGUCAACAAAUGGCGCUCUUCACCGUCUUCCCUCUGUGACUCCAGACUCAGUCGUUGGUGCUGAUCAUCUCCAACCCGUCCCUUUCUGACAUUUGUGGUGCCAGAAGAUCUUCUGUAUUUUGCCUCCUGUACCAUUAUAACCUUCCCUCGUAGUCUCAGCCGAUUCAUUUCUGCAAUAACUUUCAACUCGUUGAUGCGCCCAGUCCAGUUAAACAAGCAAAACAACUCCCUCUUGGAAAUGUCCUCUGGAAGAUGAUCCACAAAAAUGGAGAAAGACUCGUGUUCCAACCGUCGAUACUCUUUUCUGUUCCAAAUCCGUGGAUCCUUGUCAACUUCAUGAGACCUACCCGUCCCUGUGUUUCCCCUCCUCUCUCGCGCUUUUUCUCACUCUCUCUCACAUUUUCUCUUCCCACUAAAUUAAAAUACUUAAUUUUCUAUACUUUAAUUUGUUUGGUUCUUCUUCAAUCCUAGUCCUAGUAUAAUAAAAACAUAUAUAGGGCUUUCCCUCACUUGGAUUCUGAACAUGACAGGGUUGUUUCCUUGUUGAUCUUUUGUGCAAAAAAUUUAUUAUCCAUGUCUAUCAUUAAAUAUGAUCAAUAUAAUGUUUAUUUCAAUUAACUAAUCCAAUUAAAAUUUAUUCAUAUCAACUAAAAAAAUUUACACCAUAAACUAUUUAUAUAUCAACAAAUAUGCAAUCAAACAAAAAAUAAAACCCUAACAGCACAAUCUCAAUUUUUAACUACGACAACAUAUCUCAUCAAGUCAAUCUUACUUCUCUUUUAUUAGAAAAAUCAUCAUCGGACACUAAAUACAUUAUCAAAUGUCUUUAACUAAUGAUUUUGCAAGUUUAUGGCAAAUGAUCUUUUGUGCAAAAAAUUUAUUAUCCAUGUCUAUCAUUAAAUAUGAUCAAUAUAAUGUUUAUUUCAAUUAACUAAUCCAAUUAAAAUUUAUUCAUAUCAACUAAAAAAAUUUACACCAUAAACUAUUUAUAUAUCAACAAAUAUGCAAUCAAACAAAAAAUAAAACCCUAACAGCACAAUCUCAAUUUUUAACUACGACAACAUAUCUCAUCAAGUCAAUCUUACUUCUCUUUUAUUAGAAAAAUCAUCAUCGGACACUAAAUACAUUAUCAAAUGUCUUUAACUAAUGAUUUUGCAAGUUCAUGGUAAAAAAAAAAAAAAAAUUCCUUGCUUAAACAACUACUAGUACAAUUUUGUCACUGAAUUUUCCAAAAAUCCUUGUUACAUGAACGUGGGUUAUUUCAUCUUUAUUUUAGAAACCAACCACAUAUGAUACUAACAAUUUCAAUUCAUUAGAACUAAUAUCGUCACGACUUUUUUAUUCCGAUAAUAUUUUAUUACCAACAUUAGAAAUUAAUUCAAAAAAAAAAAUAUACGAACAAUUUUAUGAUCUAAUAUUUCUACAUCUAAUUACAACCCAACUUAAAAGUUAAAAAAAAUGUCAAUUAUAUAUUCUAUUGUUUUAGUGANNNNNNNNNNNNNNNNNNNNNNNNNNNNNNNNNNNNNNNNNNNNNNNNNNNNNNNNNNNNNNNNNNNNNNNNNNNNNNNNNNNNNNNNNNNNNNNNNNNNNNNNNNNNNNNNNNNNNNNNNNNNNNNNNNNNNNNNNNNNNNNNNNNNNNNNNNNNNNNNNNNNNNNNNNNNNNNNNNNNNNNNNNNNNNNNNNNNNNNNNNNNNNNNNNNNNNNNNNNNNNNNNNNNNNNNNNNNNNNNNNNNNNNNNNNNNNNNNNNNNNNNNNNNNNNNNNNNNNNAGCGAUAUAAUUACCACUUACAUUUCACAUUAUUUUUAUUUUUUUUUAUGUAUAAUUUUUUGAGAAAAACCCAAAACAGCCCUGACAAUUACCUUGAAAGACAACGAGGCUCUUGAAAAAAAAAAAAUUCAACCCGAUUCCUGACAAUUACUUCGAAAGGAUAACGAGGCCCCUGUGCCAAAAAAAAGUCAAUGUUAUUUUUUUUUGCACAAGGGCUAAUCUGUCCCAAAAAAAAAGAUCAGAGGCCGAAUUGGGUGUUUUUUUUUUAGGGACUUCGUUGUCCUUUCGAGAUAAUUGUUAGAGGUCGGAUGGGGUAUUCACUCUAAUUUUUUUUGUCUAAAGAAUUGUUAACCACUUGUCUUUAAUGUAUUUAUAUUUCUCAUCAUCAUACUUGUUUAGUUGUUUUCAGGAGUGUUCACAUAUACGAAUAAUUUGAUUAUCCAUUUAAAAUCGAUCCAACCCGAUUAUAUUGUUUCUGAAUUUAAUGAUAAUCAGGUAAAAUCGACUCAGAUUCGAUUAAAUCCGACCGUAAUUGAUUCGGGUAUUAGUUUUAAGAUCGCAGGAUCCAAACCAAUCCAAUUAGUUUAAUAUUAAUUAAAAAAAUAUAAUCUAAUAAUAUAUAUACAUUUUUAUUUAUUAACCCAAAAUUAUUCUAAUAAUAACAACAACAACAACAACAACAACAACAACAACAAUAAUAAUGCAUUAUCAAUUUAAACUUAAAUAACUAUCAUAAUUUAAAAUAAUUUUGGGUUAAUAAAUAAAAAUGUAUAUAUAUUAUUAGAUUUUAUUUUUUUAAUUAAUAUUAAAUUAAUUGGUUUGGUUCGAAUUCUGCAAUUUUAAAACCAAUACUCGAACUAAUUAAGGUUGGGUUUAAUUGAGUCUGAGUUGAUUGUACUUGAUUACCCAUUAAAUUCAGAAACAAUAUAAUUGGGUUGGAUCAAUUUUAAAUGAAUAAUCAAAUUAUCCGUAUCGAUAAACACUCCUGAAAACAAGUAAGAUGAUGAGAAAUACAAAUACAUUAAGGGCAAUUGGUUAAUAAUUCUUUAGACAAAAAAAAUUAUGUAUAAAAGACAAAUGAAAAUAAUAUAAAAUUUAUUCGUAAGUGGUAAUUAUACGGCUAAGGUAAUAGAAUAUAUAAUUGACAUUUUUUUACUUUUAAGUUAAAUUGUAAUUAGAUGUAAAAAUAUUAAAUUGUAAAAUGGUUCGUACAUUUCUUUUCGCAUUAGUUCCUAAUGUUAGUAAUAAGAUGUUAUCGGGGAUGAAUAAAUCUGAUGACAUUAGUUCUAAUGAAUUGAAAUUGUUAGUAGCAUACGUGAUUGGUUUCUAAAAUAAAAAUAAAAGAACCUCAUGUUCAUGUAAUACGUUGCAAGGAUUUUUAGAGAAUUAAGUGACAAAAUUGUACUAGUAGUUGUUUUAGCAAGAGUUUUCUUUGUCACCAUGAACUUGCAAAAUCAUUAGUUGAAGGCAUUAGAUAAUAUUUGUAGUAUCUGAUGAUAAUUUUUCUAAUAGAAGAAAAGUAAGAUUGACUUGAUGAGAUACAAAAUUGAGAUUGUGCUGUUAAGAUUUUGUUGUGUUUGAUUGUAUAUUUGUUAAUGAUAUAUAGAUGAUUUAUGGUGUAAACUUUUUUUAGUCGAUAUAAUUAAAUUUUAAUUGGAUUAGUUAAUUGAGGUUAUAUUGGUUUAUAUUUAAUGAUACACAUGAAUAAUCAUUUUUUGGGAGAUAUUGUAGAUUUGUUUAAAUAUAUUUUAGAUUAUGUAAAAUUAAAAAAAAGUGCAAAAUAGGACAAUAAACUACUAAUUGAAUAAUAAAAUUUAUCAUUAUCAUUAUUAAUACAAAUUAUGAUUAUGAUUAUGAUUAUCAUUAUUAUUUGUGGUGGAUUACAAAAUAAUAAUUUUGAAUUUGAAGUUUUGGUUUUUGAAAUAGAAAAUCCAAAUAUUUUGUUUAAAAUUAAGUUGAAUCUAACAUGAAAUUUGAAUAAAAUGAUCAUGACCAUCGUAUUGUUAGAGAGGCUAUUCAAAACUUUUUUUAUUAAAUUCCCCCUAACCUUUCUUUAAUAGACUAAACCACUACUUGUGUUUAUUGUAAUUUAGGCCCAAAACAUAAUAACAUUCUAAAAAAAUAUUAGUUAACCCUCAUCCAAAAAUUUAGCAAAUCAUAAUCUCUCUUUAAUUAUUUUAUUGACUAUCUCCUGAUAAUGUCUCUUAGCACUAAAGUAAAGCGACAUUAGUACUUAUAAUACUGCAAUUUUAGACUGCAUUGAGUCACUCAACUCUAGUGAUUAUCUUCCGUUUUAUAUAUAACAUUAUAUCACUCUCAUAUCUCAACAAGUGGCAACUACAUGUGUAAAAAGAAUCUUCAUCCUACACCAUAACAUUCGCCUUUAAUAAGUCCUCAAUCUAAAAUAAAACAAAUAGAUAAAAUAGAUGAAAUUAUAAAUUGGGUUAUUAUAACUUACAGUGCUAAUCACAGAAAAAUAUAAUUCUUUUUUCCCUUUUUGAUUUUUAAAGUAGAAUUUGUUAAUAACUUUACGAGUCAUGCAUAUUUCUAAAAGAGAAAAAAACAAAUAAAUUCUUAAUCUUUUGAUCUGUAGAUAUUUAAAUUUCUGAUUUUUUUAAAACUUAAACAUAUUGAUCUCUCAUGUUUACUUGGGUGUGUCAGACCCAAUAGAAAAAUCAAACGAUACUCCCGUUGUAUUAACCCGGUUAAUACAGAUGCACACGUGAGAGAGUUUUUAAAAUGAGACAAAUUAGGCUCAUGAAUCGAUAUAUCCAAAUUUAAAUGUCCACGUACUAAAAAGUCAGAGAUUAAUUUAUCUUUUUUUUUUCUUAAAUCUUUAAUCAUUUGGCACAAGAGAAAAGACGUAUGGCCUAAACCCACCUUACUCUAAAGGAGAGAAAUAGGAGAGGUCCACCAAUUUUUUCUCCCUCCAACGAUGGAAAAAAAAUGAAGAGAAAACUAAUUCUCUCUUUCUACUUCUAAUAUUACUCCUUUAUUUUUUUUAAUAUAUUUUGUAAUAUAAAGAUAAAAUUAUCUUUUUAUAACAUUUCUUUCCUUCUUAUUUUCCUUUCAUCUAAACACAUCUAAGAAAAAUAAAAAUAUAUUCAAUUUCUUUUCUUUCCUUUUUUUCUUUUCUAUUUCCUUUCUAUUUAUUUCUUUCCUUCUAACGAAACAUAGCCUAACAGCCUUUUGACAUGGAUCCCACCGUUUGGUUGAACCUAUUCUCUCACACACAUCCCAAUGACAGUGCAUCCACAUCAGAUCUAAAUCUCUAGAUGUCUCUCGCUAUCUACACCAUAAAACUCUCCAAAAAAAUUAACCACUAAUCAAUACUUUUUCUCAACAGAAGAAAAAAAAAAUUCCUAAAGUCGUUGGUCCAAUCAGACUAUCUCAUAUAUCGGUUUGUAAUUACAUUUAAUGUUGGGUCAAAUCUAACAAUACUAACAUCUUUAUGUCCUACAACAAUUUAAACCAUACAUCAGGAAUUUCUUACAUAGUGCUUUAAAGACCAUAAACAAUACCAAUUUACCAUGUCCUAAACUUACAUUUUCGGAAAAUCCUUCUAAUCUGAAAAGAAAUUGACCAAAAAGAUUCAUGAAAAUUGCUAUAGUGGAAAAUGGAUACUCAAGCGUGUCUCAAAAGAUUCAAAAGGUUAGAUUCUCUUGAUCUUCGCCAUUUAUCAUAUCCUUUUUUUAUUUAUAAGUUUAUUUUUGUAACAAACUAUUGCAAAAUUGUUAGAACUUUGAUAAGACUACUUCACUUAAAAAAUUUUAUAAUAUAAAAUUUAUUGUUAUUACUGCUGAAUUAUAAGAAUUCAUAAAACAGAUAAUUUAAUACCAAAUUUUGUUAAAAUUGGAUGUGAAUAAAUGUGUAAUUGAACAAGUCAGUAUAUGUAAAUUAAUAAAUUUCAAACAAUUAUAUUUCAUUGAUUUUAUUUAUACCAGUGUAUCCAUUUUUUUUUAUCUAUAAUAAUAAUAAUAAUAAUAAUAAUAAUAAUAAUAAUAAUAAUAAUAAUAAUAAUAAUAAUAAUAAUAAUAAUAAUAAUAAUAAUAAUAAUAAUAAUAAUAAUAAUAAUAAUAAUAAUAAUAAUAAUAAUAAUAAUAAUAAUAAUAAUAAUAAUAAUAGCUAAAAUUGGCUANNNNNNNNNNNNNNNNNNNNNNNNNNNNNNNNNNNNNNNNNNNNNNNNNNNNNNNNNNNNNNNNNNNNNNNNNNNNNNNNNNNNNNNNNNNNNNNNNNNNNNNNNNNNNNNNNNNNNNNNNNNNNNNNNNNNNNNNNNNNNNNNNNNNNNNNNNNNNNNNNNNNNNNNNNNNNNNNNNNNNNNNNNNNNNNNNNNNNNNNNNNNNNNNNNNNNNNNNNNNNNNNNNNNNNNNNNNNNNNNNNNNNNNNNNNNNNNNNNNNNNNNNNNNNNNNNNNNNNNNNNNNNNNNNNNNNNNNNNNNNNNNNNNNNNNNNNNNNNNNNNNNNNNNNNNNNNNNNNNNNNNNNNNNNNNNNNNNNNNNNNNNNNNNNNNNNNNNNNNNNNNNNNNNNNNNNNNNNNNNNNNNNNNNNNNNNNNNNNNNNNNNNNNNNNNNNNNNNNNNNNNNNNNNNNNNNNNNNNNNNNNNNNNNNNNNNNNNNNNNNNNNNNNNNNNNNNNNNNNNNNNNNNNNNNNNNNNNNNNNNNNNNNNNNNNNNNNNNNNNNNNNNNNNNNNNNNNNNNNNNNNNNNNNNNNNNNNNNNNNNNNNNNNNNNNNNNNNNNNNNNNNNNNNNNNNNNNNNNNNNNNNNNNNNNNNNNNNNNNNNNNNNNNNNNNNNNNNNNNNNNNNNNNNNNNNNNNNNNNNNNNNNNNNNNNNNNNNNNNNNNNNNNNNNNNNNNNNNNNNNNNNNNNNNNNNNNNNNNNNNNNNNNNNNNNNNNNNNNNNNNNNNNNNNNNNNNNNNNNNNNNNNNNNNNNNNNNNNNNNNNNNNNNNNNNNNNNNNNNNNNNNNNNNNNNNNNNNNNNNNNNNNNNNNNNNNNNNNNNNNNNNNNNNNNNNNNNNNNNNNNNNNNNNNNNNNNNNNNNNNNNNNNNNNNNNNNNNNNNNNNNNNNNNNNNNNNNNNNNNNNNNNNNNNNNNNNNNNNNNNNNNNNNNNNNNNNNNNNNNNNNNNNNNNNNNNNNNNNNNNNNNNNNNNNNNNNNNNNNNNNNNNNNNNNNNNNNNNNNNNNNNNNNNNNNNNNNNNNNNNNNNNNNNNNNNNNNNNNNNNNNNNNNNNNNNNNNNNNNNNNNNNNNNNNNNNNNNNNNNNNNNNNNNNNNNNNNNNNNNNNNNNNNNNNNNNNNNNNNNNNNNNNNNNNNNNNNNNNNNNNNNNNNNNNNNNNNNNNNNNNNNNNNNNNNNNNNNNNNNNNNNNNNNNNNNNNNNNNNNNNNNNNNNNNNNNNNNNNNNNNNNNNNNNNNNNNNNNNNNNNNNNNNNNNNNNNNNNNNNNNNNNNNNNNNNNNNNNNNNNNNNNNNNNNNNNNNNNNNNNNNNNNNNNNNNNNNNNNNNNNNNNNNNNNNNNNNNNNNNNNNNNNNNNNNNNNNNNNNNNNNNNNNNNNNNNNNNNNNNNNNNNNNNNNNNNNNNNNNNNNNNNNNNNNNNNNNNNNNNNNNNNNNNNNNNNNNNNNNNNNNNNNNNNNNNNNNNNNNNNNNNNNNNNNNNNNNNNNNNNNNNNNNNNNNNNNNNNNNNNNNNNNNNNNNNNNNNNNNNNNNNNNNNNNNNNNNNNNNNNNNNNNNNNNNNNNNNNNNNNNNNNNNNNNNNNNNNNNNNNNNNNNNNNNNNNNNNNNNNNNNNNNNNNNNNNNNNNNNNNNNNNNNNNNNNNNNNNNNNNNNNNNNNNNNNNNNNNNNNNNNNNNNNNNNNNNNNNNNNNNNNNNNNNNNNNNNNNNNNNNNNNNNNNNNNNNNNNNNNNNNNNNNNNNNNNNNNNNNNNNNNNNNNNNNNNNNNNNNNNNNNNNNNNNNNNNNNNNNNNNNNNNNNNNNNNNNNNNNNNNNNNNNNNNNNNNNNNNNNNNNNNNNNNNNNNNNNNNNNNNNNNNNNNNNNNNNNNNNNNNNNNNNNNNNNNNNNNNNNNNNNNNNNNNNNNNNNNNNNNNNNNNNNNNNNNNNNNNNNNNNNNNNNNNNNNNNNNNNNNNNNNNNNNNNNNNNNNNNNNNNNNNNNNNNNNNNNNNNNNNNNNNNNNNNNNNNNNNNNNNNNNNNNNNNNNNNNNNNNNNNNNNNNNNNNNNNNNNNNNNNNNNNNNNNNNNNNNNNNNNNNNNNNNNNNNNNNNNNNNNNNNNNNNNNNNNNNNNNNNNNNNNNNNNNNNNNNNNNNNNNNNNNNNNNNNNNNNNNNNNNNNNNNNNNNNNNNNNNNNNNNNNNNNNNNNNNNNNNNNNNNNNNNNNNNNNNNNNNNNNNNNNNNNNNNNNNNNNNNNNNNNNNNNNNNNNNNNNNNNNNNNNNNNNNNNNNNNNNNNNNNNNNNNNNNNNNNNNNNNNNNNNNNNNNNNNNNNNNNNNNNNNNNNNNNNNNNNNNNNNNNNNNNNNNNNNNNNNNNNNNNNNNNNNNNNNNNNNNNNNNNNNNNNNNNNNNNNNNNNNNNNNNNNNNNNNNNNNNNNNNNNNNNNNNNNNNNNNNNNNNNNNNNNNNNNNNNNNNNNNNNNNNNNNNNNNNNNNNNNNNNNNNNNNNNNNNNNNNNNNNNNNNNNNNNNNNNNNNNNNNNNNNNNNNNNNNNNNNNNNNNNNNNNNNNNNNNNNNNNNNNNNNNNNNNNNNNNNNNNNNNNNNNNNUAAUAAUAAUAAUAAUAGCUAAAAUUGGCUAAAAUGAUAAAUAAAUACUUAUAUUCUAAAUUCGAACUAAAGAGCUCAAGUUUUAUAAACAGCACAAGGUAUUUUUAUGAAUAUAUAUGAUAAAAGAGCCUUUUUUUUUUGGGGGAGGGGGGGGGGUUGGGGUACAUCGUUUGCAAUUCACAUUAUAUAUUCAAAUGAUUUUUAAAUAGCAUGACAUUUUAUCGAGACGUCUACAAGAUCAAAAGUAGUAAAAUAAAAAUGAGGUAUUUGAGAUCUUACCACAAGGUAGUAAGACACCUUCAGACACCAAUGGUGAGUGCUUUUAUUAGAAAAUUCAAAGACCAAUGAUCCCAAAAUCAAAAUAUUGAGCUUUAGUCAUGAGCACUAUACCUCACAAUCUCACAUCACUUUUACAUUACAAUCGUAAUGUAUUUACGUAAAGCAAAAUUGGACCUUAAAUUACUUUUGGCAGUAACACUAGUGAUGUAGAACUUGAAUAAUACUAGCUUUCAUUGCCUUAAAGGACAAAGAAUAAGUAUAAUUUUGCUGACACCACCUAACACAAUAUUGUAUGAAAGAUCCUACCAUCGAUUGCAUCAGUAUAGUAGCCAAGCAUCUCUCUUGCUCUACCUCUUCGAAAAUACGCUUUGACAUUCUGCAGGGAAAAAGACUGGGAAUUAAUACCAAUAUAUAAUAAAAUUCUGCACAGCUACUAGACUUUGACAUUCUGCAGGAAAAAAGACAGGGAAUUAAUACCAAUAAAUAAUAAAAUUUGCACAGCUACUAGAUCCAAGGAAGUAUAGAAUAUGCAAGAAUAAACAAAGUGCUUCCCUUGAAUAAGCCCGAGUCCAAGAUCUAAAGAGGAGCCGAAGGGAGAAGGCUAAUAGAUUGACUUGCUUUUUACCUUUCAUAUUUUGCGUGAACAAAGUUAGAUAAAGUUUCAUAUGAAGUGGACUCAUGAUAUUUGGACUUCGGAUUGUAAGAAAUAAUUAUUUGUCUGUACGUCAAGAAAAUCAAUCACACAGAACUUUUAUUACUAUCCAUGUUCAGGAUUAUUUAUAGAUGUAAAUCACCUUUUUGUCAAGGCUAAUUGCUUUUGUACAAUCCGACUCAGCUGCGAGGCAAUUCGAAAAAAGAUAUUUUCUUAGAAGUUCAUCUAAACAAGCUUCUAGUAAGUUUUAUUUCUUAUUUUCGACCACGGAUUUUAGAAGUAAUAUUUCAAAUUGAACCCUCUAUUUUCUGUUUUCUGUUUCCGUAAGUUUGUAAUUUUACAUUUACCCCUACCACAAGUCUUUACUUUCCAAAUUUCCUCUCUACCCUUACAUAUAAUUUGUGAUAAAAAAAAAAAUUUAUUCUGCUAGGGUUGCUCACGUCUCCGGUAGUCUGUCUUCUUUCGCCACUGCACAACGCUUCUGCAGACUGCACAUCUCGCCGCUGCAGCCAGUUUGCACGGUCGUUGCCAGUUUACAUCCAGUAGUCUGUGUACAAAUUCUUUUUGUGUUUGAGGAACAAUAGAUUCUUAGUUUGGUAUAUAUUAGCAGGUAUGUAAGUGUAGUAGGCAAAUACUUUGAAUUUAUAUUGUUCAUGUUUGAUUGGAAAUUUGAACGGCCCUUCUUAAUCGCAAGUUGGUUUCCCUGACGUGCACUUAUGUGUCUGGAUCAGUUUAUAAUUUUUCUCUUGAAUUUGUGUUGCUUUAAGUUGUGCUUCUUCUGUCUCUUUAAUCCUAUCUUUAUUCUCAUUUUCAAUUGCUGAGCACUUUUCUUCAACUCUACUACUUCUUUUGUCUUUAUUAUCCGGGAUUAAAUGAAUUACUUGUCAUAGUAUUAAUUAUAAAAUGAAAAACAAUGCAUAUAUGCUGCUGUUUGUUGGUAACUAGGUUCAUCCCAUUGGUAUCUGGACCUUUGUCGUAAUGUUUUCUCCUGUUGAAUUUCUUAUUCUGACUUGUCACUUGAUGGUUUGAUAUUGCAUUCCAAACUGUGUUAGCACUUGGCAGCAUUUGUGAUCUUAACACUGACGAGUAUAUAUGUUUAUUUAGAUGAAGAAUUUUUCAUUCUUCUGCAAUUCUAUGCAAUUCUAUUCUUCUGCAAAUAAUCAUGAAUUCUAUUCCAUGAGGCAUCAUUUUACAAUUUUCAUUUCCUACAUUUCCUUCUAUUUUUUGUAAUUUGAAUUUCCAGUGACAAAUGUCAUAACCUUAUUUUUGAAACAAAAAAGAGGUUAAAGGUACACUCCUUUCUUUAAAUUAUACUAUUUAAAAAUAUCACAUAAUUUUUUGGGUGAAAAUUUUAUUUGCAAAAUGUAUUGGAACUUUUAACUAAAUAAUUCUUUCGUUUUCAUCUUUUUCCUUUUGACAGUGAAAUGUAGCAUUUUAAGACAGAAAUUUAGACCCUUUCAGCUCCUCACUUUAGUAACUCUAGCUUGGUAUUGUCUACAACAAGAACCUCUUUAAUUACUAUGGUACUUGCUCAAUUGCUAGUUUUGUUACUUCUCUAUUAUAAUUACAGCAUUGCCUUCAUCUUGCUGACCCUGCAUUUCUUUUAAAGGUUGGCCCGGUUGGGGCCAUAGGCCUGGUUUGGAUUCGAUUUAACCGGUUCGGUUCUAUUCGAUCCAAUUUUAGACCGAUUUUUUUAAAAUUGGUGUCAAAAUUUUCGUUUCGAUGAGCUUUAUCCUAAUUUGAUAUAAUAUUCAUAUUUCUAAUAUUCUUUAUCAAUAAUUAAUUUAUCAACUAAUUAUUUACUAAUUUAACGGAGUUUACAAGCCCAAUUGGCAAUUACCACUCCAAACUAUGUGUGGAUGAAGGAGGCCCGGGUCAUGUAACCAAUUUGACCAUGUGCGACAUAUUGGCUCCAAUUGAAUGAAUAUUUUCAUUUUCAAUAAAAAAAAUAUAUUAUAGAUUUUAUUGACAUGCUUGACAAGUUGAUACUUAGGUUUUAUGAUAAGAAUCUUAGGAUCAUAUUUUGUCAUGACAUAAUUUAUUUAUUUAAAAUUUGUUUUUUUUUUUUGAACGAAAGAGCUCAACACUCAAGUGGAGCAAAGAAAGACAAAACAACAAAAGAAAAAUAAUUUCGAUGUAUCUUCGGCAUAGCUAUCAACAACAGGAAUUAUUUACCACACUACUCUGCAGCACAUGAAAAUGUUUGACCCACACAUUCUACGACUUUUGUUGUCUUGCUCUGAAAUAUGACAUCAUUCCGUCACAACCAAAUGUUCCAUAUAGAUGAGAAGAACCCAACUAGCCAAAAAUUGUGCCUCUCUUUUCUCAUCGGCAUUGAUCUCCAACUCUCAAAGUGUUCUUUCAAAGUACCGGGGGUAGUCCACACCUAUCCAAAUUCUGAGAUCCAUGCACACCACACCUGCCAAGAGUACUCACAAGUAACAAAUAAGUGUUGAAUAUUUUCAACAUCUUUCUUGCACAACACGCACACAUUAUCAUUCUAUGGUAAGAUUCCCAGCCUAUUUAGCCGAUCCUUUGUAUUGACCCGCCCUACCAAAACAAACCAAGUGAAUAACUUGACUCGAGGUGGAACUAACCUUUUCAAAUUUCCUUUGUGAAUCUGAAUCUCAGAAGCUCCUCAUCCAGAGUCUCUUCCUGCAAAACCUGCACAAAUGAGUUAGUCGAAUAAAUGUCUUCGUUGUCAGAUUUUCACACCACUCUAUCUUGCACUUCUGCUAUCAAUUUAACAGAUUGCAAGACAUGAAGCAUCUGGUCUAAGGUGUCUAUCUCCCAUUGACGUAGUUUUCUCCUCUAUUGAAAGUGCCAAACCCACUCAAUCCCAUCCCAGAAUCCACAAUCCCCAAUUACUGAUCCUUUUUUGCUUGAAAUCAAGAAGAGUCUCGCAAAAUGAGUCUUUCAACUUUCCCACUUAGAGCUAUGUAUCCUCCCAAAACCUGGUAGAUCUACCAUCCCCUACUUCUAUAUCAAGGCCAUCAAUCAUCUUCUGCCUUACAUGUUGCUCCUUUAUGUAUACCUGCAUACGUCUCUCCACGGGCCUCCUCUUUCUGGUAGUUUCUGAGUUGACAGCAAAUGAUUUGGGUUCAAGCUAUUAUAGGAGCACACAAUCUUCUUCCAUAGGGGGCAGUCCUCCUUUGAGAAGCGCCACCACCAUUUAAAUAGUAAAGCCGCAUUACGAAUUACCGCAUCACCCACGCCCGAUCCUCCUAACUUCUUAGGUGCCUAGAUCAUCUCCCACUUCACAAGAGCCAUUCCAGGUCGUCCAUCCUCCUUUCCCCAGAAGAACCUCCUCUGUAGAGAGAUGAUUCUUCGAGUAGUAAAAACUCAAGUAGUAAACAGACAGACUAUUGAUUACCGACUUAAUGAGUACCAGCUUCCCAGCCUUACUUAGAACCUUUACUUUCCAUAAGCUGAGUUUCUCUUCUACCUUAUAUAUAACCGGCUUCCAAGUUUUUACCAACCACGGGUUUGCUCCUAAACUAAUACCAAGAUACCUCACCAGUAGGGCCGCCUCCUGACAACCCAGUAGCUAACACAUUCGUCUUAUCCACUCCUGGCUGCAGUUCACUGGUAUCAAGUUGGAUUUCUCAAAGUUAAUGUUCAAACCAGACAUAAUUUCAAAGCACCUCAACAGCCUCUAAUAGUUCCUCACUGUCUCCUCCUUCGGCGGACAGAAUAAUAUAGUGUCAUCAGCGAAUUGUAAGUGUGAUAACUCUAUAUUAUCUCUAGGGUUGGCAAUGGGUAGGGUAGGGUAGGGUUUGGAUAGGGUUUGGACCCUACCCUAACCAUACCCGCGGGUUGAAAAUUUCAUUAAAACUCUACCCGCGGGUUGAGAAUCUCUCAACUCUAACCUUACCCACACCCUAAAGUUCUAAAUCCUACCCUACCCUACCUUACCCGCAGAAAUAUCAAAUUUUUUCAACGUAAAUAUAAAAUUCAAUCAUUUCGAAUCUUAUACAUAUUAAUAACAUAAAAAAUAAAAAACUAAUGCUUUGAAUUACUAAAUUAACUAACUAGUUUAAUGGUUGUUCACUUAUUGUAAGUCAUUACAUAAGGGAGGUUAUGGAUUCAACUCUCACUUCCUUCACUAUAUACCCAAUUUUUAUAAAAUAUGUGUUAUAUAUGAGGUGCGGGUAGGGUAGGGUAGGGUACACCCUAAACCCGUGCCAUAUCCUACUAAACCCGUGCCCUAAUUAUCUCUACCAACUAAGAAUGGAGAUAUUCGACCGCCUCCCCAAUCAUUCUGUUAAGCACAUCCACCACCAGAACAAACAAAAACGAUGAUAAUGGGUCACCUUGACGGAGUCCCCUCUCCAUCUUAAAAGGUUUCAAUGGUGACCCAUUUACCAGAAUCGAGAUAGAUGCAGAUCUAAUACACUCCCUGAUCCAUGCCCUCCAAGUUCUACCGAAGCCCAUCUUCUCUAGCACAGUAUCCACAAAGCACCAUUUCACUCUAUCAUAUAAAAUUUGGUUUCUUAUAUAAAGUAACUUCUAUUUUGUUUCUUUUUUGGAUUCCUACAUAGUAUAAUAAAUUUAUAUAAGGUUGAAUAAUGUUUUCCCUUUUUGGUUUUUAAGGUUGGAUCAAUUGAUGUAAUUUUGCAUCUGGCUUUCAAAAAUUCUUUCGUGGCUCUGUAGUUUUGCAUCAUUAUCAUUGCAUAUAUAUAUAUAUAUAUAUCCAUAAGUACUGGUAAUUGUUGAGAUCCAAGAUGUGAAAAGUUCCUAAGCUUCAAAGAGAGUUCUAGCAACAUUCCACUUUAUAAAACCAAAGAUUUUUUUUCUUCAAGCCAUAUUAAAAAGAUUUAACAUCAGAUCUCUGUGUGUUUCAUAAAGGGCAAGGAAUUAAUUAGUUCUAUUAAGACACGAAUUCAGAAUAUCCAUAUGCUACUAUUCUGUUUUUCUUGAUGAAUAAUUAUGUUCUCUAACAUUAAAUGUGAACAUAGUAUUUAACUUGAUGAUUAUGCCUUCUUAUUUCCUCCAUGUGAAAUUAGAUGAUAUAAUAAUUUUUAAUUGUAUCAUAUUGCAGUUACAAUUUUUUUUGUAUAGAAAAUGAAGAUGAGGCGGUUCUCUUUGGUGCUGAAGCCAAAGGCAUUUGCUAGAGCAAGGCAGUUCUCCCAGGAGCUGAAUCGGUUGUUGUGGAGUAAUUCCAAUAUGGGUUUGUGUCAAAUUUUUUAGCUUCUCUUUAUGUUAUCCCAAUUUGAAACAUUUUUAUAUAGUUGUGGUUGUUUGGAAUAUUGGAUAAUCAUUAAUAGUUCUGUUUUCAUUGAACAUGAUUAGACCUUUAGUGAACCAAAAUGGAAACUGGAAAUAGUAUCUGUGUUAAAUACAUGACUAAGGUAAUCAGCAAUUAGAUUGUUUGAAAAUUUACUUGCCUAACAUUGUGUAUUGUUACUUCUGAAAUGAAGCUUCAACUGAUAGUAAGCUAGAGGUUUCAUAAUCUCUAUUUAAUUUUGUUUAUUUUAUGCAUAAUUGUGGCCUUCUGGUCGGCAAAUGGCUAUCCUAAUCAUGCAACACUUGAAGUGGCUUUAAAAUGCUUCUCAAAUAAAGUUAGCACUGCAAGCGUUAUUAAAAAAAUGGUCCAAAUGUAAUGAAGUUUCUUUUGGCUUAUGGUCUUCAGGUAUCAGUCUUUAGUCAAUGAAUUGAAGCACCAUAUGUAUUUUUUUAGUACAUCUAUUUUUCUUCUGUUUAAUCAAAAUGGUUGACUUAAAUGUGCAAAUGGAAAAGUUUACUAUUGCAAUAUUACUUAAUAAAAGCAUUAAAUCUGAGCAAUUCAUACUACCUAUUCUCUUUUGUUUUUCUAUAAAUUUAACUGAGGGUAUUUGUUUUCUGUUUCCAAUUUAAAACAUUGUGUAGGAAAUUUUGGAAAAAGUGGAGACCCUUUUUGUCAUCUUUCUAUUUAAAAUUUCAAAAACAAAAACUAAAAAUAUAUCCUUUUGUUUUUCAUGUUCUUGCACAAUAAAAUCGUUACCUUAUUGAUUAUUUAUGGAUUCUGUCUUACAUACAAUUUGAAUAACAUUAUAGGUGAUGAUGAAUUCGAUGAAGGUUACUUCCAACAGAAGUACAUUGGAGGUAAUUUUCCAUUAUAAAUAAAUAAAUACAUAAUAAAAUUGGAUCUUCUAAGUUUCUCCCUCUUAUAUUCGUGUAUUUUUUUGUUCUUACAUGUAGAUACCAAUAUCUUGCUCCUCUCUGUGUAUGCUUAUUAGGAUGCUUUUUCUUUUUGUUGAUUUUAUAUUAUUGUGUUAAAAUUUUAUUUAUGUAGUUGGUGCAAUAUUAAUCAUUUUAUACUAUUGCCUUUUCUAUCUUUGAAGUCUGUAAUACUAUUACUUUAAUUGACAUCCACAUCAUGAAAGGACAUACCACUAAACCCAGUUCAAUUCAAUCUAAUCAUGCUUGAUUUUUUUAAUUUUGAUUAUUUUAUAUAGGAGAGAUUGGUGAAGGAGAAUACUUUGCUUUCCAAAACUGUCAGGAAGCUUAGCAAAGAUAUCUAUAAGGUGUAAAUAUUAGUAUAUAAUUUUGUCUUUGAAUGAAUAAUUCUUGGUUCCUUGGCUUCAUUUAGUGAUUUUAUUAAAAGGUUUAGGACAAAUAUCCAAUUCUAAUUAUUUUUCACUAAAUUUUUAAGUUUUUACUAUUUUUGUUUAAACAGUGUUUACCAUAGAUAUAUUCUUAUUAAAUUGUAGGUUUUGUAUUCUCAUUAAACUCCAUGCUUUGUUAUUUAUGACGACAAAUGAAGUAUAGAGCAUAAUUGGGAGAUAUUGUGUUUCUGAAGUUCUGAAUUUGUUGAUAUUUUUGAAAAAGCUAAGUAGUUUUUUGUUUCUGAUUUAUCACAUUACAUGCAUGGGUUUGAUGUGCUGAUUUUAGGUUAUUGUCAAGUCAUUUUUUUUCUCUUUUUGAUGUACUGAUGAAAAUUAUGAACAACUUAAAAGGAAAAAAUUUUAGGAGUAUGAUCCCUCUCAAGCAUGGAAAAUAUCUCGGCGACUUAGCUGAAGGAAAUGUAACACAGGAACAUAACCUUUCCAAAGAAGAUGAAAAGUGGAAGAAAACUAUUACUCUAAAUUGGCUUUUGCUACACUUUUCUCUUUUCUCAAGUUAAUAUUGGUUUAGUGCAGUUCACUAACAUAAAAAAUUUUUGUAUGCAUUGAGCGAUAUCCUAAAUGCCAUUACUUAAUUACUUGAUUCAUGUAGUGAGUUUGCAUACUCAAAAAAUCUUUCCUUUGUUCCAUUAUAUGCCAAAUUGCCAAUCAAUAGUAGUUCAAUCAAGCUUGGUUUUGUUACCCAUGGAUAUUAGUACCUUGAAUUAAAAGCAAAAUUUGUUUACUCUAUAUAACAAGAAAAUCAGUUACCUUCUUUGUCAUGUUAAUUGCUUUGGUACAUUAUGCCUCAGCCCUCAGGUAUAACUGCAUGAACACAGAAAAAUGAGAAGAUGUUUGCAAAAUAACAUUUGAGAUUUCAUCUAAAGCUACAUCAGCCAGUUUGUGCUGCAUGGGGGGAAAUGAAAAGAUUGUAAGACAAUAAGAGUGCAGGGAAGCUUCACAACUAACACGUGAUUCCCUUUCAAUGAUGAAAUCAGAACCAUUUCAGCUUAGUGCUAAAUUAACAUCAAUGCAUUUAUAUAAUUACAGAAAAGAAAAAAAGAAAUAAUGAUAGAUACCCACAAGAAACGCAUGACAACCAUCUAGUCACUGCAUAAAAUAAGCAAUGACAAAGAAAACGCUUAGGGUGGAUAAAGCAGAAUAAAGAGUAACAAUCAUGUCAAGCCCCAAAAGCAUUAAUAUGUAAUGGAUAGAUGAUCCUGAAGAAGGUAACAAAACACAAGUUAAAAAGAAAGAGAUACAAACAACAUUUGUGAUGUCUAACAAGAAGAAUCUCAUCUACCUUUAUCCUUGCAAUAGGCCUCUAGAUAUCAUUUCACGAAGAAGUUUCUCAGCUUUAUCAUUUUCACCGUUUUCAAAUAGAGCACAAAUGAUUGUUUCAUAAGUCACAGCAUCUGGUAAGCAACCACUGUCUUCCAUUUUUGUCAUGAGUGCCAAUGCUUCGUGAAGCAGACCCUCUUUGCAAAGCCCAUUGAUCAUAAUGGUGUAUGUCCGCACAUUUGGACGAUAGCCUUUAAUGGAAAGAUCUUGAAAUAUCUCUUCUGCCUUUUUAAUUCUUCCACUUUUGCACAGGCCAUCUAUAAGUAUGUUGUAUGUAUAUAUAUCUGGAUCAAUGCCACUCUCUUUCAUUUCCUUGAAUAAUAUAAGUGCCUUGUCAUGUUGUUUGAUAUUGAACAAAGCAUCCAGCAAGGAACUGUAAGUGACUAUAUCAGCAGGUUGACCUCUAUCAUGCAUCUUUUUAAGAAGCUCCACAGCACAAAGGAUUCUCCUUGAUUUUCCCAAGCCAUCAAUUAGAGUAUUGUAAGUAACCAUGUCCGGAACCAAGUUCCUGCAACGCAUCUCUUCAAAGAGAUUCAAGGCAUCAUCGACCAUUUUACUUUUGCACAAACCAUUAAUCAUGAUAUUGUAACUACAAACAUUAGGCGACACACUACUUUGGGCCAUUGUGUUGAAUACAUAUUUUGCCUUAUUUACCUCAUUAACCAAACAAUAUCCAUCCAUUAAGCUAUUAUAAAUAUACACUUCUGGUUUCACACCUUGUUUCAUCAUGAUAACAAACACACUCUUAGCAUCUUUGACCCUUCCUUCCUUACAUAGCCCAUCAAUCAAAAUACUAUAGGUACAAGCAGUUGGAGUAAUGUUUUUCAGCAUCAUAUGAUUCAGUAAAUCAAUGGCUUCUUUUAGUUGACCCCCAAGGCACAAUCCAUAAAUUAGAGUGCUGUACGUGAUAACAUUAGGAUAAAUUCCUUUAGCAAGCAUUUCAGAAUAUAAAUGAAAAGCUUCACUUAGAAGGGUAACCUUGCACAAGCUAUCAAUAAUUGCGUUGUACAUGAUGACAUUAGGAACAAUUCCAUGUCGUGGGAUCUUUCUCAACACUUGAAUAGCAUCUGAUGUGUGUCCGGUCUUACAGAGGCCAUUGAUCAAGGUCCCAUAAGUGACUUGAUUAAAGUGAAAUCCAUGAGCCAGCAUUGUGGCAUGAAAGUGCAGUGCUUUUUCAACAUUACCACAGAGACAGAGGCCUUUCAGGAUUGUUGUCAACGUUACGGCAUCAGGCUGAAAACCCAUCCUGAAAAUCUUGGCCAAUAUAGAGAAAGCAAGCUUCAUACGACCCAUGCCACAGCAACAAUUGAUUAAGAUAUUCAAAGUAAAUAAGUUGGGAGCAAUUCCCCUGGCUUGCAAUUGCUGAAAAAGGGAAAUGGCGGUGGGGAAAUGGUUGGUCUUGGCAAGAGAUCCCAAAAUCUUGGUGAAUUGGAUGAUGGACGGAGGGCGACGCAUAGAGAGCAUGCGAGUGAAGGAAUCAACAGCUUCAUCAAGUGAUUGGGGCAGAGAGUGAGAGUGAGAGUGUAGGGAUGAAGUUGAAGGGAAGCAAAGACGGAGAGCGGAGAGGGAAACAGAAUUUGGGAAUUGAAAAGCAUACCUUAAUUUGAUUGGUGAGGAAGAGAACAAUGACAACAUUCUUUUCUUGCAAUCAAGUGGAGUAUCGUAAAAGGGAAUGCGUUGAACUGAACAGUGCUUCCACCUGAGAGAGUGAGAGCAGUAUCAAGCUUAUUUGAUUCGUUUAAGUUGUGCGUCUUCUGCCUCAUUAAUCCUAGCUUUAUUCUCAUUUUCAAUUGCUGAGCACUUUUCUUCAACUCUACUACUACUGUCUUUAUUAUCCGAAAUUAAAUGAAUUACUUGUCAUAGAAAUUAUAAGUAGAAUAAUUGAAUGACAGAUAUAAUUAAUUCGUAAUUUUUAAAUAAUCAAUUUAAUUAAAAAUAUCUUCAUAGGACGAAUUUAAAAAAUGACUUAAAAACAAUGCAUAUAUGCUGCUAUUUGUUAGUAAAUAGGUAGUUCAUCCCGUUAAUUGGUAUAUGGACCUUUGUCGUAUUGUUUUUUCCUAUUGAAUUUUUUAUUCUGACUUGUCAUUUGAAGGUUUGAUAUUGCAUUUAAAAUUGUAUUAGCAUUUAGCAGUGUUUGCUAUCUUAACACUGAUAUGUUUACUUAGAUGAGGAAUUUUUUAUUUUUCUCCAAAUAAUCAUCAUUUCUAUUCUAUGAUACAUCAUUUUAUAAUUUUUAUUUUUUACAUUUGUUUCUAUUUUUUGUAAUUUGAAUUUCAAAUGACAAAUGUCAUAACCUUAUUCUUAAAACAAAAAAAGGGUUAAAACUUAAAAGUACACUCUUUUUUUUGAAUUAUACUAUUUAAAAAUAUCAUAUAAUUUUUUAGGUGAAAAUUUUAUUUGCAAAAUAUAUUGGAACUUCUAGCUAAAAUAAUUCUUUGGUUUUUAUCAUUUCCCUUUUUGACAGUGAAAUGUACCAUUUUAAGACAGAAAUAUAGGCCCUUUCAACUCUUCACUUUAGUAACUCUAGCUUGGUAUUAUUUACAAUAGGAACCUCUUUAAUUACUAUGGUACUUGCUCAAUUGCUAAUUUUGUUGCUUCUCUAUUAUAAUUGCAGCAUGGAUUUCAUCUUGCCGAUCCUGUAUUUUUUCUAAAGUGUCUUGUAAUUUUGCAAUCUCUUGUCUUUUAACUUCUUCAAGAUCAAUUAAUAUAUUGAGAAUGGUAUAAUAUUCAAUCAUGAUUGUUAAUGAACUCUUAUGAUGUAAAUCUCUUGACUAGACUAAUUAUUAUAUAAGUUCUUUGGUGUAUUAUGAUGCGAAAGGAAAAGAUGGAUUAUUUGCUGGAUUAUCAAGGUAGCAAAUCACUGGUUUUAUUUACAAAAAAAAAAAAAGAAAAAAAAUUUCCACUAUAGCAUUGAAAGGGAUUAUUUGAUUGUUCAUGCUUUUGUUAAAUCGCAAUUCUAUGCUGAAGUUUGAGUUCUUCAAAAUUGUAGGAAGUGCAGUAUACAGCAACUGAAGAAAAAGAAAGUGUUCGAAAAUUUAUCAAAUUCAUUGAGAAAAAGGACGCCGGUGCUUCAUGAAAAUGUUUCAUUAGUUACCAAAUGCGUGAUGCAUUUUCACAUUCGUAGUUCGAGGGCUAGCAUUCAUGAAAGUAAAAACAUUUUUAUCAAUGCCAAUAAAGAACAGUUUAGUCUGUUUUGACCAUAGUUUAUGAUUUAUUAAUUAAAAUAGAAAAAAAAAACUCAGCUUGAAUUGAAAUUGAUCCUUCUAAAUACUCUCAAAUAAUUUAGAAUUCAAAACCUAUAUUUUAUAUUGAAUAGUCAUGAGCAGAAAUUUAUCAGUAUAAUUUUGUGUUACAUAUUUAUGAAGCAAAAAGAAAAAAAAAAUGUAGAGGUAACGAGUAACGACACACGAGCUAAAUGUUUUAACUAAGUAGGGACCAAAAUUCAGAUAAAAUCCAAACAGGCAACAUUAUUACAAGUCAUAACUCACAAGACAUUCAUAUGGAUCGAACAUUCACUUAUUAUAACCGAUACAGACGUAAUAUCAGUGGGUAUUGUUAAGCAUGAUUCUACCAUUGGUGAUAUGCUAAUUAUGUUGGUGUGGGUGGGUGUUUCAUCAUUUAGUUUCUUAACUAAAAGGUCAGUAGUUUAAAUUCUACCUUAGACAUGAAAAAAAUUUUGUAUUGAAUUAUGUUUUCAGUGUUUGUUUGGAUGUCAUUAAAUUAAAAAAUAUUUUUUUAUUUUUUAUUUUUUUUGUUUCAAUAAAAUUUUAGUAAUAAAAAUAAAAUAAUAAAAAAAAUAAAAAUAUAUUUUUUAGAAGACAUAUUUUUUUAGAAGAUCUUAUAAAAAAAGAUCAUUUAAAAAAAGAUAUUUUCAUAAAAUCUUACUCAAAUAAAUCCUUAAGCAGAUGACCAUAGCAAAAAGAUUAACAAUUGAGUUUCAUCCUCAAAAAACCAAAAAGAAAAUAGUAUUAGUUGGAGUGAUCUGGAACAUAUGGUUGGAACGUAAUGUCAGAAUAUUCAAUAAUAACAUCGCCAGUAUUGACUUUAUUCACACAAAGACAGUGUCAAGCUACAAUGAGUGGACUGGAGGUGAUUCUUUAGGUGAUUGAUAGUAUAGUUGGAGGUGCCAGGAGAUUGUUUCUCGGUCUACAGGGGUCAUGUUUUAUGUUGUCUGUUUUAUGUUCUGUGUUUUAUGUUUGUGUGUUUUGCUUCACUGUAAUGUGUUGAGCUUCCUAUAUUUCAAAAAAAAAAAAAUAGUAUUAGUAAUUGUGUUUCAAACUUUUUUAUAUAUAAAUAAAAAAAUCAUAUUAACUCUUUUAAGUAUUAUAUGGUAAUUUUGCAGGCAGAGACUAUUUCGCAAUCAAUGACUACCAAUAGAGAAAGAACGUUAUUGCACAAUCCAUGCCAACGCAAUAGAGGUAAAACAACUUCUCCACUAUAGCUACGAAAUAGUUGGAACCACUAUAUAACAACACACGCAAUCUUUGCGCGUUACAUUGCAGCCAUUUGUUUAGUUUUGAGUUUGGAGAAUUUCAAAGAAAAUAGAGAGAGAAUGACAGAGAAAAAAAAAAGAAAAAAUAAAAGAGCUUUUGUCGCAAUGAUUCGGAGUAGCGACAUCAACCGUUUGAAUGAAGGUAGACAUGUCACGCGCCACAUUGAUGAUCAGGUUAGAAUUUAAAUUAAUUUUUUUGUUUAUUAUAUUAUAGUUAUUAGUUGGUUAAUUAGUAGUUAUAAGUUUAGGAUUAGUUUAAUAUAUUAGGGAAUAGACAUUUAUAAUAUAUAAAUUAGGGAGACUUUUAAAUUUAAUGUAAAAAUCUUUGGAUUUAGACUACACAUAUUGUAAAUUAUUAUGAAUGAGAUAAAUGUUGAUUUAUGAUUUUUUUUUUUUUUUUUACCAAAGAUAGGAGACUCGAAUCCGCAACCUCUUAAUUGAGUAUGGGGAGACUAUGCCACUUGAGCUAUUACUCAUUGGCAAAUAUUGAUUUAUGAUUGAUAGAGUUUUAGAGAUACUUUAUAUAAUAGGUGUUAUUAGUAGCAUUGGUUAAAACUUAAUGUAGAAAUCUUUGAAUUUAAGCUAAUUAUUGUAGUUUAUUAUAAUUGAGAUGAGUGGUGAUUUGAAUUGAACUUAAUGUCGAAUUACAUAGAGUCAACAAGUCCUAUUUCCAAGGAGGAAUAGGGACUCAGGAGUGGAGAGACUGCUUGAUGUAUUGCUACGCUACUUAGAGGAUGCUAGUUUUGCCCAUGUAGCUCCAGUUAUAGAUUUUCACUUCGAUAACUCGCUCCUGUUGGCAUUUGUUGAGAGAUGGCGUCUGAAGACCUAUUCGUUCCACAUGCCGUGGAAUGAGUGUACCAUCACCCUUCACGAUGUCAGUUAUUACCUUGGCUUGUAGACACAUGGGGAGUCGGUAGGUGGUUGUAGUCGAGAUUUUCAGACUUAUCAUGGUCGUGACACAUGGGAGAUGAUUGAGGAGGCACUUGGAGCAUAGUUAGGGGUGGCAAACGGGCCUAAACCCGCUAGACCAGCCCACGUAACCCGUCAAAAAAGAUGGACCGGACUGGAAAAUUGGAACCACCAAAGAGUAAAAGCUCGCCUAACUCGCACUACUUAAACCGCAAGCUUUGGCAGAUUUUGGCGGGGCGAGGUGCGUUUUUUCGCCCGCCAUUAAGAUAACAUGGUUGAAGGCUCGUCUGAUACAGUUGCCUGCUGACGCUGCACCAGAUGUACUCUGGCACUAUGCACAUUAUUACAUAUUUAGAUUGAUCGGUGGGUUACCGAUGACAGAUAAAUCUAGUGGCAUCGUACAUGCUAGAUGGAUCCUAUUGAUUGUUGAUUUUGAGAGAUGCAUGCAGUACUCGUGGGGUUCUCCUAUGCUCGCUUGGACCUACCACUCUUUAUGCAUGGCUAUCAAUGGGUGACUUAGCUUGAUGCAUCCCACUUAUGCCAUUUUAGAAUUACCACAGAUUUUCGGAUUGAUGCCCUCAAGGUAGGGACUUGGUGGAUAAUGAAGGUCAAAUAUCGGUUUAGAAUUUUUUAAAAAGAAUUGCCCCGUCAAUAGUAUAGUUCCAAAUCAACAAAUGACCCUAAUCAAAGUUUAAAUUAUUGUCACAAUUCAAAUUAAUAAAAAUCGAAAGUUUUAAGUCCCGAAUCGUUCUCCCAUGGAUAAAGUGAGGUGUGCGUAUCAUUGGAUAUGAGGGAAAAGGGGGGUGUAAUAGCAAUUGACAAAAAGUUAAAUUGUAAAAAAAUAAAGAAGCAAUAAAUGUUAUUUAAUUAAGAAAAUGAAAGGAGAUUCAAAUGUUAAAAAAGGUCUUGACAAGGGUUGAGAGUCAAGGUUUUCUAUCCUAGUCAUUAACUAUAAAUAUGACAAUUAUGAAGAGUUAAUCUCACUUAGUCAACCUUAACAUCAAGGGUAAGUCAAAUAGGCAUAAUUGAUCUUCUUCUCGAAAUUCUAACCAACUCACUAAUUAGCUUAGUGGAAACAAAAUCAACUAACAACCUUAAAUUACCAAUCAAUAUUGGACAUGAAUGACUCAAGGUCACCUAAGUCCUUAAUCCCAAGCCAAAAGUGUAAAAUCAACUCUAUAAUUAAAAGAGAUUUUAUCAAACACUUGGAAAGAAUAAAAGAAAAACAUCAUAAAUUACAUGAAUCAUAAAAGCUAUAACUACCAAACUCAAGAAAGCAAAAACAACAAUUCAAUUAAGCAUCAAUAAUAUGAAAAAUAUCAAAAUUGUAUUAAAGGAAACAAAAAUUUAACAAGAAUUCAUAAACUAAAGAGUAGCAAAAUAGAGAAAUUAACAAGAAAAACUAGACAAAUUAAGAUGCUAGAACAUGAGAAUGUAAAGAAAACUAAACUAAAACAAGAUUAAAAGCUAAAACUAGAGAGAAAUUAAGCUAAGAAACCCUAAAUUUUAGAGAGAAGUUGGAGCUUCGCUUUCUAGAAUCACCUAAAACAUAAUAAAAACCUCCACUAUCACUCCUUGGUUCAUCCCUCUUCAAUCCUUGGUUCAAUAGCAUCAGAAAUGAGUUCGAUUGAGCCCAAAACGGGCUAGAAAUCGCGGGUCAUGUGCACAGUUAAAUGAGGCAUGUGCUCAAACGCGUGCGUACACACACAAUGGUGUGUAUGCACACUUAAACUCAAUGUCCACUAUAGACAUAUGCAUAUUAUUUUGAAGCUCCAGAUGUUAGCUUUCUAAUGCCACUGAAACUGCUUUAUUUGGACCUCUAUAGCUCAAGUUAUGAUCAAUUUAGUACAAAGAGGUCAGGAUUGACAACUUUACAAAUCCGUCAUUUUUUCAUGAAUUCUUCCACUUUGCAUACUUUUCCUCUAUUUUUUCAAGUUAUGCUUACCUUCAAAAUCUUAAAUCACUCAAAGAAACAUAUCAAGGCAUCGAAUGGGAGAAAAGUGAAUUAAAAAUUUGCAAUUCUAAGCAUAAAAAACAUGUGAUUCACAAUUAAGCAAUACUAGGAAGAGAUUCACAAAAACAUGCAAUUUCAAAGAAUAAAUGCGAGGUAAGUUGAUAAAAUCCACUCUUUUCAAACAAAAAAAAAUCAUAAAAUAUGGAUUUAUCAGUGAUUUUUCAUUAGCUGCGAGGUCUAUAUGUUUACAAUGCUUUUUCUUGUAGCUGCUAUUUUUUUAUUUUGUGAUUGAACAUAUUGUUUUGUUUUGCAUCUGUAGGUUGGUUGGGCCGCCACAACAAUAUAGAGAUGACAUGAGUUAGAGGCUAUUGCAAUGGAGGCAGCAAUUGGACUUGGUCCUUUAUGAUAGGGUACUUAAGUUUACAUAUAGAGAACUUAGUAAAUUAUGUUUACUUAUGCUCAUUACUAAUUUGACUUAAAUAUAUAUGUGUAUGUUCUUUGUAGUUCUGGUGGACACCUUAUGACAUACAGCUGUUGUACGAUAUCAUUCCUCAAUGGGUGCGUAGUAACGAAGAAAAGCUGACACAUACUACAGUAGUGUCUUUGAUCUGUUUUCAUUUUCUCAAGUUCUAUCACCCAAAUCGAGUUAUUCGACAGUUCAGGGAUGCACAACAUAUACCCGAGCUACUAGUAAACAUUGAUGGGCUACUUACCUUGACCCUCAGACUAAAGGAUGAAUGGUGGUCGACGGAGCUUGCAUUGUGAUAUUCUUCAUGGAGAGACCGUUUCGAGCCUCUGCGAUAGACGAUAGUGUUACCCACGACGGACCUACGACCUUCGCAAGCCUAUUUUACAUGGUAGUCCCAAAUGUGUUGUAGUCAUUUCUUGUCACGACGCAACAGUCACCUAUUACAUGUGUUGUUGGAUGAUGCUCCUCAAGAGGCCCCACGGGCAUUAGCUUGCUCAUUAGGGAUAGGUGAAAACUACAUUUCAUAUACCUUGAACAGGCUCUCCAUGCGAUAUGCUAGAUGAGCAAACAUGGUCUAAUCGAGUCUUGCAAAAGUACAUGCCACUAGAGCAUGAUGGCAUGGAUAAUGGAUAGCCUGAAAGAGCUAGCAGUCGCAACUAUUAGUGUCUAAAUAAACCCUAAAUGUGGAUGGGUAAAAUGCAUCAACCAACUCCAUUUCCUCGACAUCAGAAAAGGAAGCAAAAAGAUUACAUUCACGGCCAUCUUGGGAAUAGCAUCCAUGUUUUUUUGAACAUUUUUUAUCAGGUAAUAUGAAAGCACGUUACCCCGACUAAGUUUAGCAAAUGUUUGUCGGCCAUUCCUAACAAACAAGUUUUGCAGCCACAUAUACGAUUAUACGUGGACUGAACAAUGGUUGCGACGGGAAGGUUACACGUCCCCCUUAGCACAAUAUUGAUGAUUCACUUAGAUAAGUUGGUAAUCAUGUGGCCAAAUCUUCGGCCAGAAUCACAGUGUGCCAGCCAUACCUCUUUGCAAAACAUAUUUGUCCACGUUGCAAAUUCCGAUUCGAGAUCUCUUAGUGCUCUCAUGUAUGCCAAGUAUUGCUCCUCAUUUGGGGAAUAUGCUGCAUUAAUCAAGGCUCGUUUUUCUUCUUUACACUUGAACUGAUUCAUGAAAUUAGCAUCCAUAUGACAGAUACAAUAAGCAUGAUAUUCCCCUAGAGGAUGCCAUCCACUACCCUCUUCUUCCAUUGCGGCAUGUAUGCCUUUAGCUCUAUCAGAUAUGGCAAGACUAUCUUCUUAGGGAGUCACAUGCUGUCACAAAUUCCUUAUAAAGAAUGACCAAGACUCUAUUGACUCUGACUUAACCAAUGCAAAAGCAAUGGAAAGAAUGUUUGAGUUGCCGUCUUGUGCAAUGGCCAUUAACAACCCUUUCGUAUCGCCCAUACAAAAGUGUGCCAUCAAUAGAUACUAGAGGUUUAAAAUACUUGAAGGCUUCAAUGUAGGGAGAAAAUGUCCAAAAUACCUUAUCAAACUGCAUAGAACCAAAGUUUCGAAGCAUGCCUUCAUAAUGUGGCACAAGCUUGAUAUCAUGAACUAAACGAGGCAAACAUUGCUCAAUCACAUUUAGCAACCUCGGAAGUUGGUUGUACAACUCUUCCUAAUCCCCAUUGAUUUGAGCAAUUGCUUUUUGCUUUGCCAUAUAAACUUUCCUGUACGACAGCUUAAAUCUAUAGCUCUAUUCCAUUAUCCCUUGACCCAUGUAGUACCCUAAUCGGAACGGAAGGAUUACUUAAUUGAUUAAUAUGUCAAUUAUUUUUAGAAAUCUUACAACAAUAACGUGAUAAACAUGUAACCAUUCUUCCAAAAACAUAUGAAAAAUUUUAAAAAAUUUACUUUCUAUCAUGGAAAAGAUAAGUCUGCAGAUAAGGUUGCUGUUGAAAUUUGAAUGAUCUUGAGAAAUUGUUGACAUCAAGCACGUGUGCAUAGCCUCGUAUUUAUGAACAUCCCAAUAACCAAGAUUUUAUCAAUAUCCAAUCCGAAUGCUCCAUCGACAACCUACAACAUACUCUCUGCACUAACAAUGAUACUUCAAAUAAUCAUAUUCAACCACCUGAUACUCUACACUCCAACAAAUAUUGUAGUUCUUGAUGGCAAGGAGAACAGACUCUCUACUGUAAAUCUAUGGCCAACCCUCAGCUCCAUGCUCCCAUUUGUUUUAUAGUCGUGACCGCCCCCUAACCAAAAGGCAUCGGCUUCACUUAUAUAGCAUCUAGGUCCAAUGUCGAAUAAUGGCUUUGGAACUUGGGCUCGGCUAGGAAGUGGUAAUGGUGGUGGCAAUAUAUGUUGAGUUUCUGGGACAAACUCUAUAUCAUUGCUAUUACUAUCAAAAUCAGAUUGGACUCACUCCUUGUCUUACUUGAACUCUUCAGAAACCAAAUUAACAUUAGAUUCAUCAUUUGGAGAGAAGACUGAAUUCUUGUGUGGAAUUCGGUUCUUUCCACCUAACUUGUUCCUACUACACAAUCUGUUGGGAGUUGGGACUGCUGCAAGUAAGGAAGAAGAACUAUUGCCAACAUCCACCAACUCAACGUAAAGUUUCAUCACUUGUUCAAUCAUAAUCUUUCCAUGACAAUCGAACAUAACUCGCACAUGAUGAUCAUCAUCUUUUAAGCACAAUACCUUAUAUUGAUUAAUCCUUAUGGCAUCCAAUGAAAUGUACCGAUACCCAAUUUUUCGAACAUGCUUAAUUCCAAGAAUUCCUAUGUUGACUAAUAUCGAACUUUUAAGUUCUAUCAACGAAUGCAAUCACCAAGUAUGCAUAACAAUAGAAUCACUGCAUUCAAAAUGUGCACCAUCAUCUUUACGUGAUAUUGUUGCAUUCAGAUAAACAACAACAACUAUACAUUCAGUAGUCAUUUGGAGAAUUUGUCUUUAUGAGAAAGAAAGAAGAAUAGAUGAAAGACAAUCCUUCGUGACAAUUUCACACGCAAUAGUAACAUCUACCGCCAUUGCUCAGUGUGUGCACUAUAAGAUUUUUAGGUUAUACUGCAGUCCAUGUCUAUAAUAAAGCUUGCUUACGAAAUUGUUAGUGAAUGUUUAAAACGGUAAAAAAUUAAAAAAAUAUUUAAGAGUUAAUAUGAUUUUAUUUUAUUAAAAAAAUCCUUGUGUUUCACCAUUUUAAAAAAAAAUACCAAAAAGGAAAUAGUAUUCGUGAUCUUACUAAGUUAAUGGCACAAUCGACUUGUUACAUACCUUAUUUUAAACGUAAGAACAAGAUAGAAGCAUAGCAUACAAAUUGUUAGGCUAGUGAAGACACUAUUUAAUAUUCUUACUAUUUCUUUAUUUUUUUCAUAGUCAAAUUACUGAAUCAUUUCUCAUUAAUUUAUUCAAUAAUUUAUUUUUCUUAAAUCAAUUCAUUUUUAUUUUCUCUUUUUCCCCUAUUAUGCGAAAUGUAGACUCUUUCAAUCUUUGAUAUCCACCAAUGGAUUCACAUAAACACCUCAUCAUUCCUCAUCUUUAAUGGCAUCUGAAUAAAAUCCAAUGGCUUUCUGCUACUCCUUCCCCUUGUAAACUAGUUAUUUUCUAUUUCCACCUUAAAAAAAAUAAAAAUAAAAAAAAGACAAUGAUAAUUGAUAAAUGCCUUUUUUUUCAAAAUUUUUAAUGUCGAUUUUUUUUGUGAAAAAAGAAAACAAACAAACAAAUGGAACAAUGUUUUUCAUGAUAAUUUCAAGAAUGUUUCAAAUGAAUCAUUUGAUCUAUGGUAGAGCCAGCAUAAAGAUGAAAGUUAUCAAGCCAUCAACCUACAAGUUUAGCUCAGCUAACAAAUGAAAAUACUCUCUACUGAACAAUUCCUAUCGUAUAAAAUUACCAUAAUUGUUUCAUUAAAACCAGAUUUGAUCACAUAAUUGUUUCUUAACACAAUAUUUUAACUUUAAUGAGAUUCGAACUUACAAGCCCGAAUAUACCACCAAAGUUUCUCAUUUUAAUUGUAAAGUUUAUAGGUUUAUUAUUUUUCUUAACAUGAUUAUAUGGGAACAUGCGAUUCAUGAUAGAAUAUUCCAACUUUUUUGAGCAUUAACCUGUGCAAAUGUUUCUUGCUACUCUUUGGGGUGCUUGGAGAUUGCGCAAGAGGCUAGUGUUUGAUCAAAAUCCUUUGGCUUUGAAGUUUGAAUCAGUAACCUUUUUUAUCAAGUUGAUUGCUUUGGUACAAUAUGCUUCAGGUAUAACUGCAUGAACACAGAAAAAAGACAAGAUGUUUGCAAAAUAACAUUUGAGAUUUCAUCUAAGGCUACAUCAGCUAGUAUGCUGCUGCAUGGGAGUUUACUUUAAAUAUGGGGGAAAUUAAAAGAUCGAAAGACAAUAAGAGUGCAGGGAAGCUUCACAACUAACAAGGAUUCCCUUUGAAUGAUGAAAAUCACAACCAUGUCAGCUUAAGAAUAAAUUAACAUCAAUGCACAUAUAUAAUUACAAAAAUAAAAAAGGAAAUAAUUAUAGAUCCGACAAGCCACAUAUAACAGCCAUCUAGUCACCGAAAAUGCCAUAAAAUAAGCAACAACAAAGAAAACACUUAGGUGUGGGUAAAGCAGAAUAAAGAAUCACAAUCAUGUGAAGAUCUAAAAGCAUUAAUAUGGAAUCGAAAGAUGAUCGAGAACAAAACACAAGUUAAAAAGAAAGAUACAAACAACAUUUUGUGAUGUCUGACAAGAAGAAUCUCACCAACUUUUAUCCUUGCAACAGGCCUUUAGAUAUCAUUUCACGAAGAAGUUUUUCCGCGUUAUCAUUUUCACCUCUUUCAAACAGAGCACGAAUGAUUAUUUCAUAAGUCACAGCAUUUGGUAAGCAACCAUUGUCUUCCAUUUUUGACAAGAAAGCCAAUGCUUCAGGAAGUAGGCCCUGUUUGCAAAGCCCCUUUAUCAUAAUAGUGUAUGUCCUCACGUCUGGACGAUAGCCUUUAAUGGAAAGAUCUUGAAAAAUCUCUUUUGCAUUUUUAAGUCUUCCACUUUUGCACAGGCCAUCUAUAAGUAUGUUGUAUGUAUACAUAUCUGGUUGAAUAACAUAAGUGCCUUGUCAUGUUGUUUGAUAUUGAACAAAGCAUCCAGCAAAGAACUGUAAGUGACUAUAUCAGCAGGUUGACCUCCAUCAUGCAUCUUUUCAAGAAGCUCCAAAGCACAAAGGAUUCUCCUUGAUUUUCCCAAGCCAUCAACUAGAGUAUUGUAUGUUACCGUGUUAGGAACCAAGUUCUUGCGACGCAUCUCUUCGAAGAGAUUCAAGGCGUCAUCGAUCAUUUUACUUUUGCAAAAGCCAUUAAUCAUGAUAUUGUAACUCCAAACAUUAGGACACACUCUACUCUCGGCCAUUGUGUUGAAUACAUAUUUUGCCUUAUUUACCUGAUUAACCAAACAAAAUCCGUCCAUGAAGCUGUUAUAAGUAACCACAUUUGGUUUCACACCAUGUUUUGUCAUCACAGCCAACACAUUCUUGGCAUCUUUGAUCUUUCCUUCCUUGCAUAGCCCAUCGAUCAAAAUACUAUAGGUACGAACAUUUGGAGUAAUGUUUAUGAGAAUCAUAUCAUUUAGCAAAUGAACGGCUUCCUUGAGUUGACCAGCAAGGCACAAUCCAUAAAUUUGAGUGUUGUACGUGAUAACAUUGGGAGAAAUUCCCUUAGCAAGCAUUUCAGAGUAUAAAUGGAAAGCAUCAUUUACAAGUGUAACCUUGUAAAGGCUAUCAAUAAUUGAGUUGUACAUGAAGACAUUAGGAACAAUCCCAUGCCGUGGGAUCUUUCUCAGCACUUGAAUAGCAGCAGAUGUGUGUCCGGUCUUACAGAGCCCAGUAAUCAAGGUCCCAUAAGUGACUUGAUUAAACUGAAAUCCAUGAACCAGCAGUCUGUCAUGAAAGCGCACUGCUUUUUCAACACUACCACAGAGAUAGAGACCUUUCAGGAUUGUUGUCAAUGUGACCGUAUUAGGUUGAUAAUCCAUUCUGAAAAUCUUGGCCAAUACAGAGAAAGCAAGCGUCAUACGACCCAUGCCGCAACAACAAUUAAUUACGAUGCUCAAAGUAAAUAAGUCGGGAGCGAUUCCCCUGGCUUGCAAUUGCUGAAAAAGGGAAAUGGCGGUGGAGAAAUGGUUGGUCUUGGCAAGAGAUCCCAAAAUCUUGGUGAAUUGGAUGAUGGACGGAGGGUGACGCAUAGAGAGCAUGCGAGAAAAGGAAUCAACAGCUUCAUCAAGUGAUUGGGGCUGAGAGUGAGAGUGAGAGUGAGAGUGUAGGGAUGAAGUUGAAGGGAAGCAAAGACGGAGAGGGGAGUAGGGAACACAACAAGGAGAGGGAUUUGGGAUUUGAAGAGCAUACCUUAACAUGAUUCGUGAGAAUGAGAAGAAUGACAACAUUCUUGCAACCACCAACAGAGUGAGGGUAGAAUCAAGCUUGUUCGAGGUUAUUUACUUAUUUAUUUAAUUGUUUCUACUUUUGUAGUUUUGUUAUCUUAUUUAGGCCACGGAUUUUAGUAAUUUCAAAUUGAACCCUCUGUUUUCAUUUUUUGUAAUUCUACAUUUACCCCUACGAUUUUUAGUUUCCAAAUUUCCCCUCUCCACCCUUAAACAUAAUUUGUGAUUCUGCUAGGGUUCUUGACGUUUUCGGCAGUCUGUCUUCUUCCGUCGUCGCUGUUUGUGCAAUGUGUGUCGCUGUCGUCGCCCUGUUUCUCUUUCUCGCCACCAACUCUGACUUUAUUCCUUCUCCCUCCGCCUCUGCCUCUGCCACCUACUCCAAACGCAUCAAGGUUCCAUUCUUUUCGCUUUUUCUAUGAAAACUACAUGGAGUGUUGAUGAAGUUCUUGUAGUUAAAAAUUACGUCUUGUUUUUGACGAUGUGGAUAGGUAGUUGAUCGAUUGAUUUCGUGGUGGCUAUAACUAAAUGACGAUGAUAAGUUAUAAAUUCAUUUUGUGUUUGAGGAACAAUAGAUUCUUAGUUUGGUACAUAUUUGCAUGUAUGUAAAUGUAGUAGGCAGAUACUGAAUUUGAUAUUGUUCAUGUUGGAUUGGAAUUUAUAUUCUUCUGUAAUUCUAUUCUUCUGUAAAUAAUCAUCAAUUUUAUUUAAUGGGAAAUCCUUUUAUAAUUUUCAUUCCCCACAUUUGCUUCUAUUUUUUGUAAUUUAAAUUUCGAGUAACAAAUGACAUAACAUUCUUCUUGGAAACAAAGUUAAAAGUAUAAUUCCUUUUUUAAAUUAUACUAUUUAAAAAUAUAAUAUAAUUUCUUGGGUGAAAAUUUUAUCUGCAAAAUGUAUUGGAACUUUAAGUUAAAAUAAUUUUUGUUGUUUUCACCGUUUCUCUCUGAAAAUAAAACAAACCAUUUUAAGACCGAAGUUUAUACUUACCUCUAGCUCCUCACUUUUAUUUACUAGCUAGUAACUCUAGCUUAGUAUUGUCCAAAACAGAAUCCUAUUUAGUUACUGUAGUGCUUGCUCAAUUGUUAGUUUUGUUGCCUUCAUCUAGCUGACCUUGCAUUUCUUCUAAAGUGUUUUAUAAUUUUGCAAUAUCUUGUCAUUUAGCUUCUUCAAGGUCAAUUAGUAUAUUGAGAAUGACAUAAUAUCAAUUCGUGUUUAUUAAUGAAUUGUUGAUGUAAAUUUCUUAGCUAGACUAAUUGUUAUGUAAGUUCUUCUGUGUAUUAUGAUGCGAAAGGAAAAGAUAGAGCAUUUUCCGGAUUAACAAAGUAGGAAUUCACUACUUUUAUUUACAAAAUUCAAUUCUUGUUUUAUGAUUUGUUUGUAACUUCCUAUUUUCACUAGCAUUAGUAUAAUUAGCCAUCCAUUUAGCCAUUGCAUUCUCUUUACUCAAAAUUGAGUUGUGUCAUUAUUUUAGCUUUUCUGCCCGGUUAUCAUUUUUAAUUCUUUCAUUAUCACAGCCUUGUGGUUGAAUAUGAUAUUUUUUAUUUUUUUCUCAUAAAGAAUUAGAGGUGACAACCUGGAUUAAGAAUGACCUUACUCAUUACAAGAAGUAUAAACAUACAUAUAACAAUCCUACUCCUUUUUGGUUUUAUGUUUUGGGGGGGGAGGGGGGAUUGUUUAUCAAAUCAAGGAAAAGAUUUAUCAUUCUUUGCUGAAAUUCACUCAAGAGUGUUGCAUAUUAAGGUGAUUGCUAUGGUAUUUAAAAGGUGGAGCUUAAAUUGCNNNNNNNNNNNNNNNUCAAAAUUAAUAUAUAUAUAUAAUAGGAGUAUUUUAAUCAUUUUUUAUAAUAAGGGUAUUGUAAUUAUUUUUUAUAAAAAAUAAUAUUAAUUUAGACCAGUUCAAAAUUUGAUUUACCAUUUUCUCGCUCAAAUCAAUUUGCCUAGUUUAAUUUUAACAAAAAUAACACGAUUUAAUCGAUUAUAUGUGUUAAAUUUUAAUUAUUAAAAACCAUCUUUAAAAAAAGACAUUUUAGUUGUCCUUAUCCGAGUGACUCCCAUUAUGGGUACCAUAAAAUUCAUCUUAAGAUAAACUCAGAAUUAAGAAUUUGACGUUUGAAAAGGUGAAUGUACAAGAGAGAAUUUCCUCUCUAGCAUUGAAGGAUUAUGAUUGUUCAUGCUUUUAUUAACUGGUAAGUCUAGACUAAAGUUUUAGUCUUUAAAAUUGCAGGAGGUGCAGUUUCAUCCAGAGAGCAUUGUAUAACAACUGAAGAAAUGGAAUUGAGGAAAAUGAGGCUGGUAGUUCACAAAAAUAUUUAAUUAGAAACGAAUGUUUAUCCAUUGUAACACUUGUAUUUUGCGGGCUAACAUACAUGAAAGAAAAACAUUUUUAGCAAAACCAUUAAAGAACAGUUUAUUCUAUUUAGACCAUAGCUUAGGAUUUUAUUAAUUAAAUAGUAGAAAACUCAAGAUGAUGUGAAAUUGAUCCUAGUGAAUACCCCCAAAUAAUUUAGAAUUAAAAGCCUAUAUUGAUAUUGAACAAUCAUGAGAGCCGUUAGAUGAUUUGACUGAUUUGACUAAAUUUUCAUCUAAAUAUUGUCAGCUAUCAACUUCACGUGAAGUCGAUUGCAUCUGAGUUUUCACCAUGAAUUAUCAUUCAGCAACUAUCAUCAUAUUUAUUAAUCAAUAAGUACAAAAAUAAAUGCAAGUGAUGGAUAAAUUAACAAUCUCAGCAAUAAAGGGUACAAAGAUAUAAAUAGAACGAAACCAAAAGUGCAAAGCUUGAUCUUACACAAACAGCUGCACAACACCUGCCUCGAACUACCUUAACACCGCUCAAAUGCAUAUGUGCAUGCCAGGGAAAUGAACUUGUGAACGUCAAGCCAUUUCAAAUUUUCAAUCCAAUAUGAACAAUAAUAUCCACAUUUUGUGUAGUCUAACCCAGUAAUAUUCAGUAUUUACCUACUACACUUGCAUGCUUUCUUAUAUAGUUAUACAUAAAGACUAAGAAUCUAUUCCUCAAACACAAAAUGAAUUUAUAAUUUUAUAUACUGAUCAUCACCAUUUAGUUAUAGUCACCAUGAAAUCAAAUAGGUUGAAAAUAAAGGGUUUCAAAUCAUUAUUUAAAUCUACAUAGCAAAAAUUAAGCAAAGGGUAUCAAAUUAUGGUAUGCAAAGCCAUACUAGCAGAAUGAAGCAGAAAGGAAAAAGGAAGAUACCCUAGAUGCAGUUGCCGGAUUAAAAUAACUAGAGCUACAGCCACCAACUGCCACUUUAGGGAAAUCAUUGGUAUCACAUAUGCAUGUCCAUAAUGAUUCACUACUAUCUUCAGCAUCUGCAUAGUAGGUAAAGCAUAUAUCAUAAAGGUUGAACACAUAAAAAGCAUUGCAUGCUUACUAGUCACAAUUACAAACUUUCGGAAAGAAGAAAAUCUACAUUUCCACUUGUUUAGGCAAGUCUCGUUCGGUUCGUCUGCUAACAAAAACAAGAAGAAGCAACAACUAAGUAGAAAACCUAUGUAAACUAAUAAAUCACUAAAACAAUGCACUUUUUACUUCUUACUAUAUCAAAGACAAGUGCCUAAAUAUCAUUAAUAACAAGGUAUCCUUCUAGUGACACAAUUAGGGAGUAAAUUACUAAUCGGUUUACAAGUUAUGAUUACUAAACUAAACCAAAUGUAUUGUGGAUGGUGCCACUAACCACAAAAUGAGUGCUGAAUCCAGAGCAACCUAAUAGCAAGAACAGCAGCAACUUUGAGCUGAGACUUCAUCAAUUCCAACCCAUACACUACAAGGAAAGUCCAAGAGUGUUUUAGCAAAUCAGACUUCAUAAUCUAACAGGAAACUUUGAAAUACUAGAGAGAAAAAAAAAGCUAAAUCCAUAAACAUGUGUAUCAGGUUCUUGCCUCUAAUUCUGCAUUUUUAUCUAUAAAUGAUAAGAUGCAGUUAUUAGAUCCAAAUAAAUAUAGAAUAACCGGAAUGUGAAAAAGUUAGAUGGAGCUUCAUAUGAAGUGGACACAUACUUCAAAUAUUAAAAAGCAAACUGUUUCAUGUAUGCCAAUCAACAGUAGUUCAAUCAAAGCUUAGAUUUUCAUUAUCCAUGUAUAUUUGGACCUUAGAUUAAAAGAAAAAUUCAUUUACUCUAUAUGACAAGAAAAUCAAUAUCUUGUUUUGUCAAAGUUAAUCGCAUUUGUAUAGCCUUACACGCAACUGCAUGAACACAGAAAAUGCGAAGAUGUUUGCGAAGUAACUUUGGAAACUUGAUCCAAAAUACAUUAGAUGGCUACAUCACCAAGUAUGUUUCUGCAUGGGAAAAUGAAAAGAUUUGAAACACAAUAACAAGACUGCAGGGAAGCUUAACAAGUGAGUCCCUUUGAAUGAUGAAAUCAAUAUCAGUGCACAAAUAUAAUAGAAAAGGAUAUAACAAUAGAUCCGCACAAGACACAUGACAACCAUCUAGACACCGAAAAUGCCACAGAAAAUAUUUAAGUGUGGCUAAAGCAGAACAAAGAAUCGCCAUCAUUUAAAGAAAUAAACGCAUCAAUAUGAAACGGAUAGAUGAUCAAGUAGAAGGUAACAAAACACAAGUUAAAAAAAAGGACCUUCUAACACCGGGUAAUAACCACAUUUUGUGAUGUCUAACAAGAAGGAUCUCAUCUACUUUUAUCCUUGCAAUAGGCCUCUAGAUAUCAUUUCAUGAAGAAGUUUCUCCGCUUUAUCAUUUUCACCAUUUUCAAACAGAGUACGAAUGGUUAUUUCAUAAGUCACCGCAUCCGGUAAGCAACCAUUAUCUUCCAUUUUUGACAAGAGUGCCAAUGCUUCAUGAAGCAAGCCCUCUUUGCAAAAUCCAUUGAUCAUAAUAGUGUAUGUCCACACGUUUGGACGAUAGCCUUUCAUAGAAAGAUCUUGAAAAAUCUCUUUUGCAUUUUCGAAUCUUCCACUUUUGCACAGGCCAUCCAUAAGUUGCUCAAGCCAUCAAUAAGAGUGUUGUAAGUUACCGUGUUUGGAACCAGGUAUUUACAACGCAUUUCUUCAAAGAGAUUCAAGGCUUCAUCGACCAUUUUACUUUUGCACAAGCCAUUAAUCAUGAUACUGUAACUUUGAACAUUAAGUGACACUCUACCUUGGACCAUUGUGUUGAAUACAAAUUUUGCCUUAUUUACCUCAUUAACCAAACAAUGCCCAUCCAUUAAGCUGUUAUAAGUAACCACAUUUGGUUUCACACCAUGUUUUGUCAUCAAGCCCAACACAUUCUUAGCAUCUUUGAUCUUUCCUUCCUUACAUAGCCCAUCGAUCAAAGUAUUAUAGCUAUGAACAUCUGGAGUAAUGUUUUUCAGCAUCAUAUGAUUUAGUAAAUCAAUGGCUUCCUUAAGUUGGCCGGCAAGGCACAAUCCAUAAAUUAGAGUGUUGUACGUGAUAACAUCGGGAGAGAUUCCCUUAGCAAGCAUUUCAGAGUAUAAAUGAAAAGCAUCACUUACAAGAGUAACCUUGCACAAGCUAUCAAUAAUUGCGCUGUACAUGAAGACAUUAGGAGCAAUCCCAUACCGUGGGAUCUUUCUCAACAGUUGAAUAGCAGCAGAUGUGUGUCCGGUCUUACAGAGUCCAUUAAUCAAGGUCCCAUAAGUGACUUGAUUAAACUGAAAUCCAUGAGCCAGCACUCUGUCAUGAUAGUGUAGUGCUUUUUCAACAUUACCACAUAGACAAAGACCUUUAAUGAGUGUAUUCAACGUUAUGGUAUCAGGCUGAAAACCCAUCCUGAAAAUCUUGGCCAAUAUAGAGAAAGCGAGAGUGAUUCGACCCAUGCCGCAGCAACAAUUGAUUAAAAUAUUCAUAGUAAAUAUGCUGGGCGCAAUUCCCCUGGCUUGCAAUUGCUGAAAAAGGGAAAUGGCGGUGGGGAAAUGGUUGGUCUUGGCAAGAGAUCCCAAAAUCUUGUUAAAUUGGAUGAUGGAUGGAGGAGGGCGCAUAGAGAGCAUGCGAGUGAAGGAAUCAACAGCUUCAUCAAGUAAUUGGGACUGAGAGGAAGAGUGUAGGGAUGAAGUGGAAGGGAAGCAAAGACGGAGAGCGGAGUGGGGAACAGAAUAAGGAGAGAGCCUUGGGAUUUGAAGAGCACACCUUAACAUGAUUCGUGAGAAUGACAACAUUAUAGCAAUCAAAGAGGAGUAUGGUGGUAAAAUGGAAUGCGGAGUUGAAGAGUGCUUCCACCUGAGAGAGUGAGCGUAGUAUCAAAGCUUGUUCGAGGUUAUUUGUUUAAUUGUUUCCACUUUCCACUCUUUUUUGGAAGGAUUGAGAAUAUAAAAUGUUUUACGCAAGGAUAUUAUUUUUUUUUAGAUAACUAUUUAUGUAAAUAUGUUUAGAUCUGAACUUUUUACAAUGUGAAAAGAAAGGUUUUAGUGUAGAGUGUGGUUUAAACUUUAAAGAAGAUUGUGUACCAAAUAGAUUUAACUAUGAUGCAUGCAUAUACGGGAUACGACACAAUAUGAGAUAUAUCACAUGCGAAUUUUAAAAUUUUAGAUGAUACGAGGACACGUAUACAUAUAAAAUAUAAAGUAUUUUUUAGAUAAAUCGUAAUAAUAUUUUAAUAUUUUGUUAAUAUUAAAAUAUAAAUUAAAAUUUUUAAUGUCUUAUUUUAAUUAUAUUAAGUAUUUAAAAUAUUUUUUGUUUUAAUAAAUAAUAAUAUAUAUUAUAUCUAAAUUUAUUUUAAGAAUAUAUGUUAAGACUAGACAGGCUUAUACGUGAUGGUAUUUAAGUGUGUGUAGGUGUGUCCAAAAAAAAAUUUUUUAUUUUUUAUUAAGACACGUUUAAACACCGCAGACAUACAUGUCGGUGAGUGUUGUAUCCGAAAUAUAUUUAACACGCGAACACGACAACUCAACAAAAUAUCAGUGCUUCAUAAGAUUUAAAAAAAAGCAUUUAUUACGUUUCAAAGUGAGCCUGAUGCUUCAAAAGACAGGGAAGAUGGAGAUCUAGUGGUGCGUAAUCAUAAAAUACUUGGCAAGGAAUAGAAGAUUUAUUUUAGUCUAGUAUUUUCAGAGGAAAAUAGGGUGAACGAUCUGAUAGCAAAUCUCAGAGCUUCGAGUGAGUACUUUGAGUAGUUUGAUCCUCUUCUAAAUAUUGUUGAAGUUCUUUUCCAAGAUCAAAAUGUUGUUUGAGUUAUCGAGGUUUUCUAUAUGUCUUUCUUUUGUUAUUUAGUUUUUUUAAUUUUUGUUCAAACACCAAAAAGAAUUGUGAAAAUAAAUUAAUUUUAAUGAUGUAUGUGUAAAAUUUUAUACUAUUAAGACAUAAAAAAUUAAGGAUGGAUUUAGUUUGCGUUUUUAUUUUUUGUUUUUAUUUUUAAUGUUUUUUAUUUUUUGAAUUUUGUAAAAAAUAAAGUAAAAACAGAAAGUGAAAAUAGAAAAUAGAAUUUUAUUAUUUUCAUUAUUUUUACUUUUUCUCUUCACAAAAUCUAAAAAAUAAAAAAAUUACAAAUAAAAAUGCAUACUAAACACAACUUUAAAAUUUUCAAAGUUGCCAAAUCAUUAGUCUUCUAUUAUCUUAUUUAGGCCACGGAUUUUAGUAAUAAGAUCUCAAAUCGAACCCUUUGCUUUUCAUUUUUCGUAAGUUUAUAAUUCUAUAUUGAGUAAAAUUCUAUCUCGACCUCUAACUAUUUUGCUAGCUCUUAUUUCGUUCCUCAUCAAUUGAAAAAUGACAUUGUAGCCUCUAACGAUUAACCCUUCACAGACACACCCUUUGACGCCAUUGAUCUUUUCUUGCUUCUUGAUUCUCUCUCAAUGAGCGUGUUUAAUUGGACAAAAUCAAUUAUUUUAUUUUCAUUAAUCCAUUCACAAUUUCACAUUUAAAAUUAAUGAUUUAAUUAAUUUUAGAUUCAAAAAUCACAAAUCACUAAUAAGAAACAUUCAAAAUUAAAACAUUGAAACAGACUCAACAGAACAUAAAAGAAAACAGCUAAACAGUGUCACUAACUUUCUAUUGGCAGCAUGACGACGACGGCGAGACGACGAAGACACGACGGUGACAUGACAGCGCAGUAGCUGGAUGCCUCGAACAGCGAAGUCACCGGGGGAAUGGACGACGUGCUGAGCUAGAAGAGAAGGUCUGGCCGUAUGGGUUUGGGAGGAAGGAGGAGGCCACGGAGAUGCCGACAACCGUGGACAGCGGCGGCAGUUCCAUUGACGAAGCUGGGUUUUUGGUUUGGAAACUUUGGGGAACUUUAGGCUGCGUUUGUUUGCAGAGACAGGACACUAGACAGGGACAUAGAAACACAAAAUCGUGUUUGACAAAGGAGACAUGGACAGAGACAAUGUGUUCAGAGAUACUGAAUUAGUAUAUUUUGUGUGCAUCCUGACAGUAAGGAUACAGAGACACUAACAAGGGACACAACUUAUUUUUCAUUUUUCUUUCAUUAUUCUUGUUGAUUUUUCAUAAUUAUAUUUUUUUAUUAUGAUAUUUUUCGUCAUAAAUUUUUUGAAUGAAAAAAUGUGAAUAAAUUGGAUUUUCAUAAUUUGUUCUAAUUUAUUACCUAACAGAAUACAAGAACACAAAAUUUUGUGUCUAUAUCCUUUAUGUUUUGUUCCCAAUGUCUUGUCUUGUCCUGUUUUCAUAAACAAAUGCAACCUUAGGGCUUGCUGGUGAGUGUUUUUUGAAUAACAAAAACAAUGCUGUUUCACAAGAACCAAUCGGUUCUUGGUCCGGUCCAAUCGACUGAUUCAGCGAUUUCUGAACAGUUUGGAGAUUGGCAAUUUUAGGAAAAAGAUCAGACCAUUUUUCACGUCGGUUUUUGGUUGAACUGGUUCGACCGACCAGUCCGAUCCGAUUUCUAGAACAUUGCUAUUAUCUUAUUUUAGGCCACAAAUUUUAGUAGUAAGAUUUCAAAUUGUACUCUCUGCUUUUCAUUUUCAUAAGUUUGUAAUUCUAUAUUGAGUAAAAUCUCAUCUCGACCUCCAACUAUUUUGCUAACUCUCAUUUGUCCCCUCGUCAAUUGAAAAAUGAUAUUGCGAUCCCUAACGAUUAAUUCCGUCCGAUAUUAUAUUCCUUCUGUUAAUGUGUCUGUCCAGAACUAACAUAUUUUGCCUACAUAUCACAUUGGUUGAUAGGGUAUCAAAGAAACCAUUUCAAUAGAACACCCCUGCUGUCUCAACAAUAUGCUGCAGUAAAAUAGGCCAAUAUCAAUUAAGGCAAUGCAUCCACUAUCAAUUAUAUGUCAAUUCCAGCACCAGCAUGUGGGAAAUGGAUCCUCUCCAGUUUUUUCAACACUUGACAAAAUACAGUGUAAUUUCUCACCUUUGAUUUUAAUAGUGGGACCAAAAAUAAAUAAGAGAGAGAAUGUGGUGAAUGGUUAGAUUAAACACUGCACACCAUCCAGUUUUUUAUUCACUGGAGAGGAUCCGCUCCCCCAGCAUGUGAUGUCCACCAAUGGAUUCACAUAAACACCUCAUCAUUCCCUCACCUAAAUGCACUUAAAAUUGUCAUUCAGCAACUAUCAUCAUAUUUAUUAAUCAAUCUUUAAUUACAAAAAUAAAUGCCACUAAUGGACAAAUUAACAAUCUCAGCAAUAAAGGGUACAAAGAUAUAAAUGGAACGAAACUAAAAGUGCAAAGCUUGAUCUUACACAAACAGCUGCACAACACCUGCCUCCAACUACCUUAACACCGCUCAACUGCAUAUGUGCAUGCUAGGGAAAUGAACAAUAAUAUCCUCAUUUUGUGUACUCUAACCCAGUAAUAUUCAGUAUUUACCUACUAAACUUACAUGCUUUCUAAUACAUAAAAACUAAGAAUUUAUUGUUCCUCAAACACAAAAUGAAUUUAUAACUAAAUGAUGUGGAUAGGUAGUUGAUCAAUUGAUUUCAUGGUGACUAUAACUAAAUGAUGAUGAAAAGUAUAUAAAUUCAUUGUGUUUGAGAAACAAUAGAUUCUUAGUUUGGUACAUAUUUGUAUGUAUGUAAGUGUAGUAGGGUGAUACUGAAUUUGGAAAUUUGAGAUUCACAAGUUUGUUUCCCUGUGUCUGCAUCAAUUUAUAAUUUUUCUCUUGAAGUUGUGUUGCUUUUAGUUGUCCUUCUUCUGCUACUUUAAUUCUAGCUUGAUUCUCAUUUUCAAUUUCUGAGAACUUUUCUUCAAACUCUACUCUUGGUGAACUGGAUGAUGGAUGGAGUACCACACAUAGAGAGCAUGCGAGUGAAGGAAUCAAUAGCUUCAUCAAGUGAUUGGGACUGCGAGUGAGAGUGUAGGGAUGAAGUUGAAAGGAAGCAGAGACGGAAAGCAGAAUGGGGAACAGAAUUUGUGAUUUGAAGAGCAUACCUUAAUUUGAUUGGUGAGGAUGAGAACAAUGACAACAUUCUUUUCUUGCAAUCAAUGGAGUAUCACAAAAGGGAAUGUGUUGAAUUGAAGAGUGCUUCCACCUGAGAGAGUGAGAGUAGUAUCAAGCUUAUUCGAUUUCUUUAAUUGUUGAUUUGUUUCUACUUGAAAAAUUUGCCAAAACUAAAGAUUUAGUAAUCUUUUUAUUAUCUUAUUUUCGGCCACGAAUUUUAGUAAUAAUAUUUCAAAUUGAACCCUCUGUUUUCAGUUCUUAGUUCUUUAUAUUUUUUAUUUUAUAGAAAAACUAGUUAUUUUCUAUUCUACGUUAAAGAAAACCCCUCAAAAAACAAAUGAUAACUGCCUACUGCCUUUAAUUUUUAAUGUCGAUUUUUUUUUUCUGAAAAAAGAAAACAAACAAACAAAUGGAACAAUGUUUUUCAUGAUAACUUCAAGAACGUUUCAAAUGAAUCAUUUGAUCUAUGGUAAAGCCAGCAUAAAGAUGAAAGUUAUCAAGCUAUCAACCUACAAGUUUAGCUCAGCUAACAAAUGAAAAUACUUUCUACUGAACAAUUCCUAUCAUAUAAAAUUACCAUGAUAAAAUCUAAUAAGCCAUUAUUAAUCUUGAAACAUAAUAUGCGCAUGCAACUUGUCUUUGUAAGAUCAGUAUGACAAAAAGAAGUGAAUAAACUUCAUUAAAAUCAGAUUGAUUAUAUAAUUGUUUCUUUACACAAUAUUUUAACUAUAAUGAGAUUCGAACUUAAAAGCUCGAGUAUAUCACCAAAAUUUCUCAUUUUAUUGUAAAGUUUAUAGGUUUAUCAUUUUUCUUAACAUGAUUAUAUGGGAACAUGCAAUUGAUGAUGAAGUGUUCCAAAUUUUGUGAGCAUUAACCUGUGCAAAUGUUUCUUGCUACUCUUUGGGGUGCUUGGAGAUUGUGCAAGAGGCUGGUGUUUGAUCAAAAUCCUUUGGCUUUGAAGUUUGAAUCGCGGUUCCUUUAUAUGCAUGCUUUCAGACAGGUCUGUUUGACUGCUAUUGACCAUCUCCUUCUACUUGGCAGGAUGGCUGCCCUUUGUGGACGAAACUAAGCAGGUGGUCCCCCUGGCUGAUGUGCUACCCUUCUUAGCUGGGGCUUGAGGAGAGCAAUUGUUCUGCCUCUUCUUUCCUUUGUUCCAUAUAUGCCAAAUUGCCAAUCAAUAGUAGUUCAAUCAAGCUUGGUUUUGUUACCCACGGAUAUUUAUACCUUGAAUUAAAAGCAAAAUUUAUUUACUCUAUAUAACAAGAAAAUCAGUUACCUUAGCAUGUUUUGUCAUCACAGCCAACACAUUCUUAGCAUCUUUGAUCUUUCCUUCCUUGCAUAGUCCAUCGAUCAAAGUAUUAUAGGUAUGAACAUCUGGAGUAAUGUUUUCCAGCAUCAUAUGAUUUAGUAAAUCAAUGGCUCCCUUAAGUUGGCCCGCAAGGCACAAUCCAUAAAUUAGAGUGUUGUAGGUGAUAACAUCGGGAGAAAUUCCCUUAGCAAGCAUUUCGGAGUAUAAAUGAAAAGCCGGACUUACAAGUUUAACCUUGCAGAGGCUAUCAAUAAUUGCGCUGUACAUUACGACAUUAGGAACAAUCCCAUGCCGUGGGAUCUUUCUGAACACUUGAUGAUUGUUGUCAAUGUUACGGUAUCAGGCUGAAAACCACUCCUGAAAAUCUUUGCGAAAGCAAAGAAAGCAAGAGUGAUCCAACCCAUUCCGCAGCAACAAUUGAUUAAGAUAUUCAAAGUAAAUAAGUUGCUGAAAAAGGGAAAUGGCGGUGGGGAAAUGGUUGGUCUUGGCAAGAGAUCCCAAAAUCUUGGUGAAUUGAAUGAUGGAUGGAGGGCGACGCAUAGAGAGCAUGCGAGUAAAGGAAUCAACAGCUUCAUCAAGUGAUUGGGGCUGAGACUGAGAGUGUAGGGAUGAAGUUGAAGGGAAGCAAAGACGGAGAGCGGAGUGGGGAACAGAAUUUGGGAUUUGAAGAAGAGCAUACCUUAACAUGAUUCGUGAGAAUGAGAACAGUGACAACAUUCUUGCAAUCAAGAGAAGUAUGGUAAAAUGGAAUGCGAUGAGUUGAAGAGUGGUCCCACCUGAGAGAGUGAGAAUAGCAUCAAGCUAGUUCGAGGUUGUUUGUGUCAUGUUUCUACUUCUAAAUUUUGAAUUGGUAAUGUUUAAAAAUAUUUGUAAGUUUAUAAUUCUACAAUUACCCCCCAAGUUUUUACUUUCCAAAACCCUUAAAAGAUAAUUUGUGCAUUGCCGCUCGCUGCGCCCCCUGUUGCCCUUCCUCGCCACCGAGUCAACCUCAGCCUCUUCUGUACUACAUUGUGUUUUGGCUUUGCUACCCUGUUGUUUCUCGUCCGUGCCACUAUCUUUUAGGGUGUUCAAAUCUAAACCAAUUUAAAUUAAAUCGCUCAUCUAAUUCGAUUCAAACCGAAAACCGAUUAAAACCGCAUUAAUUCGGAUUUGAUUGGAUUUUAUUUUUUGCAAAUCGCUGGAUUGGAUCAGAUUUCGGAUCUACUUUUUAUAACCGAUCCAAUCUAAUCCAAACCGCACAAUAUGCUAUAAUAUUAUUAUUUUAUUAUUAUAGUUACUAUUAUACUUAUAACAUGUUCAAUUUGUUAUACAUUUUUCUAUUAUUCAUGUAUUAUUAUUAUUUAAUAAAUGUUUUAUGUUGAAAAUGUUAUUUAUUUAUUUAUUUUAACUAACCUAUAAUUUUAUUUCUAUUGUUAUGUUAUAGUUAGUUUUUUAAGAUAUUGUUAAGACUUGUUAUGUCAUUGUUGAUUACUUAAAAUUUGAUGUUGAGACUUGUUAUAUGUAAUUAAUUUUUUUUAUUUAAAAAACCGCAAAUCCAAACCGAUCCAAACCGCUUGUAAUCGGAUCGGAUCGGAUCGGAUUUCCAAAAAAAUUCAUCCAAUCCAAACCGCACCGCACAUAAAUUAAGCGUUCGGAUCGGAUGACUUUUUCUCUUAAAACCGAACCAAACCGCACUGCAAACACCCCUACUAUCUCUGACUCCAUUCCUUCUCCCUCCAUCUCUGCCUUCUCUGCCACCAGCUCCAAAGGCAUCAAGGUUCCAUUCUUCUCGCUUUUUCUAUGAAAACUACAUGUGAGUUUUGAUGAAGUUCUUAGGUAAUUGAUCGAUUGAUUUCAUGGUGACUAUAACUAAAUGAGGAUGAUAAGUAUAUAAAUUCAUUUUGUAUUUGAAGAUUAAUAGAUUCUUAGUUUGGUACAUAUUAGCAAGUAUGUGAGUAUAGUAGGCAGAUAUUGAAUUUAUAUUAUUCAUGUUUAUCUCUGCGUCAAUAUAUCAUUUUUCUGUUUAAAAGUUGUGCUUCUUCUGCCUCUUUAAUCCUACCUUAAUUCUCAUUUUCAAUUGCUAAGCACUUUUCUUCAACUCUUCUACUUCAAUCUGUGUUAUCAGAAAUUAAAUGAAUUGCUUCUCAUAGAUAAUUAUGAAAUGAAAAACAAUGAAUAUAUGCUGCUAUUUGUUAGUAACUGAGUAGUUCAUCCCAUUGGUAUAUGGACUUUUGACAUAAUGUUUUCUCCUGUUGAAUUUUUUACUCUGACUUGUCACUUGAUGGUUUGGCAUUGCAUCCAAAACUGUGUUAGCACUUAGUAGCAUUUGCUAUCUUAACACGGAUAAGUCUAUAUGUUUGGUUAGAUGACGAAUUUUCUACUCUUUUUGUAAAUAAUCAUUAAUUCUAUUUCAUGAAGAAUCACUUUAUAAUUUUUAUUUCCCACAUUUCUUUUUACUUUUUGUAAUUUAAAUUUCAAGUGACAGAUGGCAUAACAUUAUUCUUGAAACAAAAACAAAAAGGUAAAAGUACACUCCUUUUUUUGACUUGAAUAUUUAAAAAUAUCACAUAAUUUCCUGGGUGAAAAUUUUAUGUGCAAAAUGUAUUGGAACUUCUAGCUAAAGUAAUUUCUUUUUUUUUUUCAUGAUUUCACUUUUGACAGUGAAAUGUACUAUUUUAAGACAAAAGUUUAGACCUACCUCCAGCUCCUCAUUUUAGUAACUCUACCUUGGUGUUGUCUACAACAUGAACGUCUUUAAUUAAUUACUAUAGCACUUGCUCGAUUGCUAGUUUUGUUGCUUCCCUAUUAUAAUUGCAGCGUGGGCUUUAUCUUGCUGACCCUAAACUGUUUUGUAGUUUUGCAAUCUCUUGUCCUUUAGUUUCUUCAAGGUCAAUUAGUAUAUUGAGAAUAGUAUAAUAUUCAAUCACGGUUACUACUGAAUUCUUAUGAUGUAAAUUUUUUAGCUAGACUAAUUAUUAUGAAAGUUCUUUGGUGUAUUAUGAUGCGAAAGGAAAAAAUGGAUUAUUAGAUUAUCAAAUUAGGAAUUCACUGGUUUUAUUUACAAAAUUCAAUUGUUGUUUUAUGAUUUGUUUGUAUUUUUCUAUUUUCAGUAGCAUUAGUAUAGUUGCCCAUCAGUUUAGCCACUGCAUUCUCUUUACGCAUAAAACUUUUUUUGUGUCAUUAUUUUAGCAUCAUUGGCCUGUUAUUAUUUCCAGUUCUUAGCUAGUAGAUAUCACAGCAUUGUGAUUAAAAUGGAGAGUUUUCCUCAUGAAGAACUUGAGGUGGCAGCUUGGAUUGUGAAUGGUCUUAUAAUGCCAGCUUGUCACAAGAAGUAUAAAUAUCCACAGGUAACAUUUCUAUUAUUCCUUUUGUGGAAAUUUCUUUUCAUCAAAUAAGGAAAAGAUUCAUCAUCCUUUUGCUUAAAUUCAGGAAACAUUCAAGAGUGCACAUAUUAAAAUAACUCAGAAUUAAGAAUGUGAUGUUUGAAAAGAUGAAUCUACAAAUAAAGAAUUUCCACUAUGGUAUUGAAGGGAUUAUUUUGAUUGUUCAUGCUUUUAUUAAAGAUGAAACUCCAAUGAAGAUUUUAAAUUAUCUUCAUGUGAAAAUGCUUCUUUUAGCCAUUGGACAGUGAUUGCAGGGUUUGAUUUUAGUAUGUUAUAAAAGUGUUAUCUUUUAUUUAAAAUGUGACUAAACAUAUAACUCAAAAUUUAAUCAAAUAUCUUUAUGAGAUGUUUUUGACAUCUUUAUAAUAGGUGUCUUUAUUAAAUGGCAAUUCUAUACCAAAAUUUGAGUUCUUCAAAUUUGCAAAGAUGCAGUUUCAUCCAGAGCGCAUUAUAUACUGAAGAAGCGAAAAGUGUUUGAAAAUUUAUCAAACUCAUUGAGAAAAAAGACGUCAGUUGUUCAUGAAGAUGUUAGUACCGAAUGCUUAAUGCAUUUUUAACAUUCGUGUAUGAGGGCCAACAUUCAUGAAAGGAAAAACAUUUUUAGCAAUAUCAAAUAAAGAACAGUUUAUUCUAUUUUGACUUUUGACCAUGGCUUAGAAUUUAUUAAUUAAAUAAAAAAAACAGGUUGAAGUGAAAUUGAUCCUUGCAAAUACUCCAAAAUAAUUCAGAAUCCAAGGCCUAUAUUUGAUAUUUUGAACAUUCAUGCGCAAAAAUUUAUCAGUAUAAUUUUGUGUUACAAAUUUAUGACGAAAAAAUACGUGGAGGUAACAAACACGAGCUAAAUGCACUGUUUCAACUAAGUGGGUGUUGGAAUUCAGAUUUUAACCCAAACAUUGUUACAAACCAUAAUUCACAAGACAUUAUAUGGACAAGGCCUUCACUUGUUAUAAGCAAUGCAUCGACUAUCAAUUAUAUGUCAAUUCCAGCCGCAGCAAAAGCAUGUGAUGUAUAACACUCCCUCAAUCUUUGAUAUCCACCAAUGCAUUCACAUAACUCCUCAUCAUUCCCUCACCUAAAUGCACUUAAAAUUGUCAUUCAGCAAGUAUCAUCAUAUUUAAUAAUCAAUCUUUAAGUACAAAAAUAAAUGCCAGUGAUGGAUAAAUUAACAAUCUCAACAAUAAACAAAGAUAUAAAUGGAACAAAACUAAAAGUGCAAAGCUUGAUCUUACACAAACAGCUGCACAACACCUGCCUCGAACUACCUUAACACCGCUCAACUGCAUAUGUGCAUGCCAGGAAAAUGAACUUGUGAAUGUCAAGCCAUUUCAAAUUUUCAAUCCAAUAUGAUCAAUGUAAUAUCUAUAUCUCGUAUAGUCUAAGCCAGUAAUAUUCAGUAUCUACCUACUAGACUUAGAUGCUUUCUAAUACAUAAAGCCUUAGAUGCUUGGGCCCUAUUACUGUGGUAUAUUGCAUUCUUGCUGCUUAGUUUUAUGGCUUCUGACUAAAAUCCAAUGGCUUUCUGCUACUGCUUGCCCUUGUAAACUAGUUAUUUUCUAUUUCCACCUUCAAAAAAGAAAAAAAAAACUCAAAUAACAAAUGAUAACUGCCAUUUUUUCAAAAUUUUUAAUGUCAUUUUUUUUCUGAAAAAAAAAACAACAAACAAAUGAACCAAUGUUUUUCAUGAUAACUCCAGGAACGUUUCAAAUAAAUCAAUUGAUCUAUAGUAGAGCCAGCAUAAAGAUGAAAGUUAUCAAGCCAUCAGCCUACAAGUUUAGCUCAGCUAACAAAUGAAAAUACUCUCUACUGAACAAUUCCUAUCAUAUAAAAUUACCAUGGUAAAAUCUAAUAAGCCAUUAUUAAUCUUGUAUGUGCAUACAACUUAUCUUUGAAAGAUCAAUAUGACAAAAAACUCGUAUAUGACAAAAAGAUUCCCACCUAACUUUAAAUGUGGGGAAAUGAACAGAUUGAAAGACAAUACGAGUGCAAGGAAGCUUUACAACUAACACGUGAUUUCCUUUCAAUGAUGAAAUCAGAACCAUUUCAGCUUAGGGAUAAAUUAACAUCAAUGCACAUAUAUAAUUACAAAAAAGAAAAAAGGAAAUAAUGAUAGAUCCGCACGAGAAACAUAUGAAACCAUCUAGUCACUGAAAAUGCCAUAAAAUAAGCAACGACAAAGAAAACACUUAGGUGUGGGUAAAGCAGAAUAAAGAAUCACAAUCAUGUGAAGAUCUAAAAGCAUUAAUACGGAAUUGAAAGAUGAUCAAGAAGAUGGUAACAAAACACAAGUUAAAAUAAAGAAAGAGAUACAAACAACAUUUUGUGAUGUCUAACAAGAAGAAUCUCACCAACUUUUAUCCUUGCAAUAGGCCUCUAGAUAUCAUUUCACGAAGAAGUUUCUCUGCGUUAUCAUUUUCACCUUUUUCAAACAGAGCACGAAUGAUUAUUUCAUAAGUCACAGCAUUUGGUAAGCAACCAUUGUCUUCCAUUUUUGACAAGAAAGCCAAUGCUUCAUGAAGUAGGCCCUCUUUGCACAGCCCAUUUAUCAUAAUAGUGUAUGUCCUCACGUCUGGACGAUAGCCUUUAAUGGAAAGAUCUUGAAAAAUCUCUUUUGCAUUUUUAAGUCUUCCACUUUUGCACAGGCCAUCUAUAAGUAUGUUGUAUGUAUAUAUAUCUGGAUCAAUGCCACUCUCUUUCAUUUGAUUGAAUAACAUAAGUGCCUUGUCAUGUUGUUUGAUAUUGAACAAAGCAUCCAUCAAGGAACUGUAAGUGACUAUAUUAGCAGGUUGACUUCGAUCAUGCAUCUUUUCAAGAAGCUCCAAGGCACAAAGGAUUCUCUUUGAUUUUCCCAAGCCAUCAAUUAGAGUACUGUAAGUUAUCGUGUUAGGAACCAAGUUUUUGCGACGCAUCUCUUCAAAGAGAUUCAAGGCAUCAUCCAUCAAUUUACUUUUGCACAGGCCAUUAAUAAUAAUAUUGUAACUUUGGAUAUCAGGAGCCAUUCCCACUGGGCCAUUGUGUCAAAUAUACAUUUUGCCUUGUUUAAUUCGUUAACCAAGCAAUACCCAUCCAUUAAACAAUUAUAAGUAACCACAGUUGGUUCCACAGCAUCUUUUGUCAUCACAGCCAACACACUCUUGGCAUCUUUGAUAUUUCCCUCCUUACAUAGUCCAUCAAUCAAAGUAUUAUAGGUACGAACAUUUGGAGUAAUGUUUUUCAGCAUCAUAUGAUUUAGUAAAUCAAUGGCUUCCUUGAGUUGACCCGCAAGGCACAAUCCAUAAAUUAGAGUGUUGUACGUGAUAACAUUGGGAGAAAUUCCCUUAGCAAGCAUUUCAGAGAAUAAAUGAAAAGCAUCAUUUAAAAGUGUAACCUUGCAGAGGCUAUCAAUAAUUGCAUUGUACAUGACGACAUCAGGAACAAUUCCAUGCCGUGGGAUCUUUCUCAACACUUGAAUAGCAGCUGAUGUGUGUCCGAUCUUACAGAGCCCAUUGAUCAACGUCCCAUAAGUAACUUGAUUAAACUGAAAUCCUUGAGCCAGCAUUGUGUCGUGAAGGUGCAGUGCUUUUUCAACUUUACCACAGAGACAGAGACCUUUCAGGAUUGUUGUCAAUGUUACCGUAUUAGGUUGAUAAUCCAUUCUGAAAAUCUUGGCCAAUACAGAGAAAGCAAGCUUCAUACGAUCCAUGCCGCAACAACAAUUAAUUACGAUGCUCAAAGUAUCUAUGCUGGGCGCGAUUCCCCUGACUUGCAAUUGCUGAAAAAGGG